GUAUUCAUGGGAAGCAAAGGCAUCACUGACCCUGGCAGCUUUUGCUAUGGAGUUUGGUGAAUUCUGGCUCCUUGCAGAGCUUCGUGAAUCAAACCACCUUGCCAGGUCAAUUGCAAUUCUCAAACGACUCCCUGUUCUCCUCAAGCCUUCUCAGCUGCACAAGCGCAGGCAAGCAAUACUUGAGCUUAACAAUCUGAUCAAGGCCACACUGGAAGUCAUUACAUGCAUCGACCAGUUCAACAAGCUUUCCAUUUAUGACCUGAAUGAUGUCCCCGAGUUGUCGGGAACAUUGGAUCAUGUUCCGGUGGACGUAUAUUGGGCUAUCAUGACUGUUGUGGCUUGUGCCACUAAGAUCACACUACUCACUAGUGAUGAGUAAGUUCCCCGAUCUCCAUCGUUUUAACGAAUUAGCUAAUUACUAUACUCACUGUUGUGGUGUAAGCAUUGUUCCUGGAGAUUGAAUUUGUGUACCGAUUUACGAUAUUUACCCUAUUUAAUUUGCCACAUAUUGUUUCAGGGACAAAGAAUUUGACCUAUCUCCCUAUUCUCAAAAGAUCCACUUUGUCCUUAACAAGCUCAAGACGCAGCUAACAAUUUGCAGAGCACGAAUUGGUGGGUUAAUUAAUUGCAUAUUUUUUAUUAAUUGAGGUUCACAUUAGUUCUAUAUGUGUACUCUUUGAAACGAAAUUUGAAGCAAUUUUAUUGUUGUCUAAUGCAGAGUUCAUAGAAAAUUAUAAAAAGCUCAAGAAACUGUUCCGAACACCUACUGAAAUUAUGGAAAUCUUUAAGGGUUUGUUAUUUACAAAGGAUAAUGUCCAGCCACUCGUUGAUUGUUCCACUAAACAAACGGUUUGUGCAUCAUCUCUAGGGCCAUCAUUUCUCUACAAAUUGUAACAACAAUAGUGAAACUUAAUGGUGCCCAACUCUUUAACAGGUGAGCAUCGAAAUCCUAAGGAGGAAGAAUGUGCUAUUCUUCAUUUCCAGCCUCGACAUUACGGAUGACGACAUUUCGAUUCUGAAACCGGUCCACGAGUUCACAAAGAAAGACAAUCAGUAUAAGAUUGUGUGGAUACCGAUUGUGGAGCAAUGGACCGAUGAGCUGAGAAAGAAAUUUGAAAUCCUGAAGAACAAGAUGCCGUGGUAUACGGUGCAGUACUCUGGACCUAUUGCAGGCAUCAAGUUCAUCAAGGAGGAAGUGGAACUUCAAGGUAAGCCAUUACNGGUAGUGAUGAACCCACAAGGAAAGGUCGAACACUCUAACGCUCUUCACAUGAUUCGGGUGUGGGGAGUCAAGGCCUUCCCUUUCACAGAGACGAUAGAGAAAGAGCUGUCAUCAGAUUCUCAUGGAGGAAUUCACUCUAUAGUUGUUGACGGAAUUCACCCUUCUGUGCCAUCUUACGUAAUUCACCUCAACCGAUCAAAGUGCAUAUAUAAAUUCACGAGUUAUUAUUUAUAGUAUUUGCCUAUAUAUAUUACUUUUGACAGUGCAUUACUACAUCAAUAUAUACAUUACAUAAUAAUGAACUAGGAGAGUACGGUCAUCUCCAUUAUUGAUAUAUUUUCACUACAUUCACCUGAAACGAUGAGAAACUUAUUCAAUUUGUUAUCCUCAAACAGAUCAGAGAUAAUAAGUACAUCUUCUUCUAUGGCGGUAAGGACAACGAAUGGAUUCAGCAAUUCACAAAGAAAGCAACUGCCCUUGCAAACGAUCCUAUCUUGAAGGAGGCAAAGAUUUACAUAGAGUUGGUUUGCGUUGGAAAAGGCAGCAAAGGAGAAGAUGACCAUGGCAUUCUAGGCCGCUUCUGGACCGGUAUAGAAAGCUUGUUCCUCACCAAAGUCCACAAGCACGUUGAUCCGAUCGGUCAAGAAAUUCAGAAGCUUGUCUCUUACAAGAACGAAAGUGGAUGGGUGUUGCUUACCAAAGGAUCAACUUUGUUGGUCACAGGUCAUGGUAUCUCCGCAUUGAAGGUGGUAGAGGACUUUGAGAAAUGGAGGGAGCAUGUCAAGGAGAAAGGGUUUGAGUAUUGUUUCAAGGCCUAUUAUGGGAAGGUUAUUCAGGCGGGUCGACCUUGUUGCCGUCUUGACAUUCCGGGGUCUACCGGAAAGGUUCCGGAGUCGAUGAAGUGCCCUGAUUGUCACCGUAGUAUGGAGACUUUUAUCAGUUACAAGUGCUGCCACAUUGAUGGUCCAACUGCACAUCAUUGAGUGCUGGCUGAAUUGGUGUUUACGAUCAGUCCUUCAGUACGUUAUGAUGGACUGUUAUGUUAUCUUUUACUUCUGCUUGUAUGAAUAAGAUGGGCAUGGCCGAUGCAUUGUGAUGCUUGGUAUAACCCAGACUUACGAUUUGAAUUUUCCAGCUAUAAUUAUAUGGCUAGAUGUACUAUGUUUGGUGCUAUCGUACGUGUACCUUUUGAAUCAAAUAAGACCAAUAUUUUGGUGACUAAAUUGAAACCAAUUUAAUUUUUUAUUUCAGGUUAUUUUGUUAAAACAAAACAAAAAAGCUUAAAUUGAAAUAAGGGUUAGUUUAGGAUUGCUGUGACUUUUUAUAAAAAUUGAUUCUGUUGUACUAUGAAUACAAUCAGUUGAGUGAAGGAAAAUACUUGUGUGCGGACUAAUAUGUAUGUGUGCGUCCGGACUCUCUGUUAUUUACAUAUUUUCGGCAAUGUAAAUCAUAAUUUUAACUGUACAAAAGUUGGAUUAACCAAUAAAGAUUAUCUCUGCGAAAAAUCAAUGUAAACAAAAUUCGUUUGCUUAUCCGAUUGCAUUAAACAAAUGAACAGUUCUGAUGAAAGUUAGCAACCUCAUGAUUAGCUGUCAAUUUGUUUGAUUCAUUUAGCUUAACAAACGAUUUUUGUUCACUGAUUUUUUUACAUAGGUGAUCUUAAGGUGUUUGACCCGAAAGCAUGUACCAUACCCGUUUUAUCAGAACACGCGGAUCCUAUUUGACCCGAAAUGCAAAUGCCUAUUUAAGUUGAGAAACUCGAUCGUUGAAGCAACGAUCAUUUUGGAAAAACUAUUCUGGGCUUAGCUUCUGCGAAAAAGUUCUAUGCUUUACUUGAUUUCAAGGUACUCAAAUUGAUAGUUAAAAGUAUGGACCAUUGUCGAUGAUUCUUUUACAGGGAAAUCAUUAGGGAUCGAGUUUGUAUUAUAUUGUUUCUAAUACGUGUUCCUUCUUUUGACGCGAGGAAACCAAACUUGGGUUCUACUAUGAUUCUGGGAAGGAAUUAAGAUUCUGGGAAGGAACGAAAGAAGAAGGUAUAAUCGGUAAGUGCCCAGCACUACAAAAGGGUAAAAGCUGAACGAAGAAAUUUCGACGGGAUGGUGAUGUUACCAUGAAGAAAUAGCUCUAGGAGCUAAGAUACUUGUCUUGCAUUGUGGUUUCUUUUAAAAUUCAUUUAAGUCGGCUAAUUUUAUGCAUGAUUCUUUUUACAUUUUGUGCUUUCAUUGGACCUAAUGAAAUUUUGUGCUUUUAAGCCGUUCGUUUGAGUCUAGCAGGAAAACAAAGUAUUGAGUACAACUCAUACUUAAGGCAAUCCAUCUGCUUUGGCCAAGAAACUUAUUACUGCUGAUUAAUAAGUGAGAUUGAUGUGUUGAUUUAUGUUUUCUGAAUAAUAUGUGAAAUAGUCAUGCUAUCACAUAAAGGCAAUAGCAAGUAUGAUGUCCAAUAAAUAGCUAUUGAUCAAUGACUUGUUCUGUAUCUGUUGGCAUGCUCUUUAUUGAUGUUUUGGUAUAACUGAAAACUAUAUAUGACUAUUUAGAUGAACUCAUUGACAUCUUGAUAAAUGACGCAUUAAUGCCUUGACAAGAAAGCAUGGUAAGUUAGUCAUUAGAUAAUAGACCAAAUUUAUCUUGUUUUCAUGAAAGUGUGGCUGUUUUUUGAGACUGCAUCAAUUUUUUUUGAAAUUGUCCAUUGUAAUUGAAAGUUCAUCGACUCAUGUUAUUACCUACUGGAAAUUUGCAUUCUGGAUGUAUCUACUAAGGAUCAUCUUCAAACAUUUGUGUGUAUAUAUGUAUAUAUGAGUAAAUGUCUAUAAUUAUAAUGAAACUACUCCCUUUUAAACUGUGCUAGUCUGUAGAUAUGCAAAUAGCAUUCAUAUUAGAAAUUUACUAGAUAUGCAUGUGUUGGGAUUUACUUCCAAUGAUUCUUAGCAAAUAUCGGCUAUCAACAUAAAGUUAUCUUUUUAGCUAGUAGUUAAAUGUCAGCGCAAUGCAAAUACAGGAUUUCUGGUAUAACUUGUUAUUGUUUCUCUUGGUCAUUAUUCAAAUCUGUAUAUUGAGUAUUGGAACAAGUCAUGUGCUUUUCUAUAAUUGUACAGUUAAUACUACUUCAAGCUAGUGACAUUUAAUGACAGUAUUUACAUGAAAUUUUGCACAACUAAUUGAGCUUCAUAAGUAUGUGUGAUUGUCAAUGGAAAUCACGUAAAGCACUAAAGGCUACUUUUAUAUCUAUGCUAUGCUAUAAAGUUCCUAUACAGAACACAGAAAAGAGACAUGCAUAGAGCUUUAUUCGAAAUCAGACUACAGAAAUUGUUUGGAUACUAUAUGGGAUUGUAUCUAUGCAUCUACUACUAACUUGAUAUGACACAACUAAGGUAUGUUUUCAAGAACUGAUGAAAUUUUUAUCAAGUGAUGCUUAAGUGCAUCAGGGUUGUACAUGAAUUUGAUUAAAGCAUGUUGCCUUGGUAUUCUAAAUAAGGAUAUUCUGUGAUGAUCACAUGCCGGUAACUAUAGUGAUAUGUCACCAAAAUGCUUCAAUUUUGAUCUGGAAUAUCUUACAUAUGUUGAUAAUCAUUGUGUACUUGUUGUUACAAUUUGCUUGUGUAAAAUUUAGUUAACAAGAUAAAAGAUAUCUCCCAAAAUGAAUCUUGUUAAAUUUUCAUUAAAUUUUACUGUAUGCAUAGUUGGUGUGUUUCUUCAAGCCUUGUGCUCGAUGAACUACAGGAACCAACUUUGAUCUUGGAUCCUUGGGGUGUCUUGGUGGUACAUGUUGAACACAGUAAAUUGCUACUAGGAUCUCUCAUUGAUUAUAAAGGUUAAGAUCAAGAAACUUGUGUUGUACACAUUAAUUUCAUGACUGUAUCUCCCACAGGAGGUUUAAACUUUACAUGGAUUUAAUUUGCGCAUACAGGUUAUACAGCACAUCACAAAAUUGAUAAAAUGCAUUUGUUUUGCCAAGAUCUUUUCUUCUUACCAUACAUGUGUUGACUGAUCUUAACACUCUUGUUCAUUUUGGGUCUUGUGAUUAAGAAACUUCAGAAUGUCAUGCCUCCCCAAUGUGUUUUUACAUACCUGCUUCGAUUUGUUCGAUAUAUGUGUUGCAUUAAUACUUGUUUUACAGCGCUGGGAGCAUCCUGGUAUGCAUCUGUCUAUGUUUUGAGAUUUUAUUGAACUUUGUUUCAAUUCAAUUGCAAGAACCCUAGAUGAUCUCCUGGGGGGUACUUAAGCUUUAGGAUAGAUGCCCAGAUGAAACUUAUCAUAUAGAUUUAGGUGUUGGAAAACCAUUGUUGAUGAUUCUGAAUUGAGUGAAAUGUGUUUGUAGUCUAUGUAGACUGAACUCUUAUGGAAUUGUUUGUGGUGUGCCUAUACCUACUAUAUGAUGUUUGAUAACAUGUAAUUGCUUAUGUGAUUCUUGGACAUAAAAUGACUUAAAUAAAUUCUCCCUGUUUGAAAAAAUUUAUGUUUAAAGAUAACAUAAGUAAAAGACUGAGUUUUCUUAUGAGAUGAAAAUCUCAUGGAUAUCAAAACGAAGGUUAUCAGUCACUGUUUUAGAAUCAAAAUGAGUGUUUUAAAUUUCAUAAUGCACACAGCAUAGUUGUUUAUGAUACUCUAUUUGGUUAUAAAGACACUAAAACAGGAAACUUGCAUAAAGUUGUUUAGAAUGCUUUCGUAUCAUCCACAGAUGGCUUUAAACAAUGUAAUUCUAAGCAAUUUUUAUGGUUUUGUAUGUCAUGUUUGAAGUGCAUAAGGAUGUAUAGUUGGACAUUUUCUUUUGCCAUACAAGUAUUGACUUGUCUGAUUAUAAAACGUACUUUCACACAUGAUAGGACAGUAAAGGAAAAUAAGGAAUGACCAAGUGCUUUACCACACAGGUAUGUUAUUGAAAAGAAAGAUGCAUAAGGAAAAUAUCAUCUAAAUUGAUAUACAUUCUGCAUUGUUUUGUAUUGAAUGUAUAUGAACUAUUAUGAAUUGAUAUGGAUUAUAGUCUUGUUUGUGAUUCUGGUUUUGUUUUACAGUGGUUAAACUUUAGACAAAUAUUUUCUAUAUAUAUUAUAUAUAGGGGGAGAAUAUUUCACAAUUCAGUUGCAUGCUAUUUACUAUAAGAGCAUUUGUCUUUUGGAAUGAGCAUAUUCAUGAAUCACUUGAUUAUUUACACUUUGUGGCUCUCACUAUAGUCCAUUAUGGAUUUUCAGAUAGCUAGAGAACGGUGGGAGCAUUGUUUACACUAUUUAUUGUUUAUUAGUUUUCUAGACUAAAUAUCUUGAGCUUAAAAACUUGGCAUUCUGCCUCUUUUGUUGAAAUGAAUAAGUUCAGACUUUUGAUUACAGUAAGGUUGUUGAAUUAUGAAAUUCAUGUUAUGAGCAUUAACAUGCUAUAAGAACUGUGGUAUGUGAUUUUGCUUAUAAAGAAAUUAUGUAUAUAUGAAAUAUAUAUAUAUAUAUAUAUAUACAUGCCUUUUCAGAUAUGGACCUCCGUAUUUAUUCAAAAGGUACGGAUUUUCUUAAUUGACAUACUUUUCGAUCAUAUUUUCUCAUCUCAACCAUUCAUCUUUUAGGUAUAUAUGAGUACGUAGAUUAUCUCUACAAAAUUUUAGCAAAAUUGAUAAUCAUUAAGGUAUUCAAAUUUGUGAAUUACACGAACGGUUCAUGUUGAACAGAUUUGGUUCGUUCAUUGUAAUCAUAUAGUUUCGAUACCUUAACGAUUAUCAAUUUGGCUGAAAAUUUGUAGAGAUGAUCUACACAUAUAUACCUACAAUGUGAAUGGUUAAGAUGAGAAAAUAUGAUCUAAAAGUGGGUCAAUUAAGAAAAUCCGUACCUCUUGAAUAAAUACGGAUAUUUGAACCUGAUAAUAUCUAGAAUUAAAUUCAGUUUACCCCCAUGAAGUUUGGGAGUAACUUCAUGUUAAUCCCUAUACUUUCAAUUUCAUCAGUUUACCCCUCAAACUUUUGAAUUUUCCUCAAGCGUGACCAAAUGUCCUAUAUUCUGUCCAAAUCGGACGUUAACUACUGAUAAUUUUAACCAUAACUGUGAGGCCAGUAUCUAGAAUUUGGGCAAAUCGGACCUUAUAUGUCCAAAUCGAACCUUAACUGCUGAUAAUUAAAGGUCAAUUCAAACGGAAUAUGAGAAUUUGGGCACGGCAGACAUAAAUUGAAGAGUUCAAGGGGUAAACUGAUGAAAAUAAAAGUGUAGGGACUAACAUGAAGUCACCCCCAAACCACAAGGGGGUAAACUGAAUUUUAAUUNNNNNNNNNNNNNNNNNNNNUAUAUAUAUAUAUAUAUAUAUAGAGUCCGGAUCUAGAAAGGACCUCCUUAAACUCUUAAAGUGAGGAUGUUUUUAGUUCUACCAUGUAUUUUGACAAUCAAAGCCACUCAUUCCCUAGUUACUUACCCACGCGCAAAUAUGAAUCCAACAAAAAAUUAGCCAAAAUGAAAAACGUUUAACCAUUUGAUUAGCACAAUAUUCGUUUUAAUUUUAUCUAACGGCCUACAAUUGUGUACGUCAAUUUGAAUGACCAAAUGAUUAUGGAAUUAGUUGAAAUUUUGUAGACAUGUUUUUUGCAUAUGAAUCUAGAGGAUCAACGGUUGAGAUAGUUAAAUGAAGUCAUCUACUAAUGUAAAAUAGUAGAAAUCUUUAAAUUCUUAAAGUAAGGAGGUUCUCUUUAGAUCCUCCCUAUAUAGUUUUUAUCAAGAGCGAAGCUUCGCUCUGAAAUUAAAGUGUGAAGUUCUUUAUUUGACUCACUUUUUCGUCAUAUUUCCACAUUUCCACCGUUCAGUUUGUAGAAUCUAAUGCAUAGAUCACUUAUGCAAAGUUUCAUCUAAUUUGAUGAUCGUUUGGGUUUUCGUAAUCGUUAUUUACACAAACAGUUCUGGUUAGACAAAUUUAUGGUCCGUUCAUUGAUUUGAUCUAAUUUAGUACCCAAACAAUCAUCAAUCUUAAUGAAAUUUUGUAGAAAUGAUCUAUACAUUAGUAUCAAUAAUCUGAACGAUGGAGAUAUGAAAAUAUGAUGAAAAAGUGAGUCAAAUAAGAAACUUCACACUUUAAUUUCAUAGCGAAGCUUAGCUCUAGAUAGUAACUGUGUGUGUGUGUGUGUGUUGCAUCAUUAUGCCUGUUAAAGGAACACAAGAAAAAGGUGCGUCUAUUGCCACCCCACAAACCAUUUUGGUUACCCCACACGUUGUUGAUUUAUUGAAUGACUAAUAUACAUUAAUGUAAAAUUACAGCAAUGGACAAUAAGUUGUUACAAAUUACAAAUUUCCUCUUUUUAGAAAAACAUAUAUUUCAUAAACCUUAACCAGAAUUUAUCAUAUUCAAUAUUUCUAAAAAUUCGAUAUUUCUAAGAAGUCUGAAGAAGACACUAGCAUUCAACUGAGGAUGAGGUGAACUGUUUGUAUUUUUUUUUCUUCUUUUUUUUUCUUUGUUGAUGCUUCGUCUAUCCAUUUACCCAUUAUUUCUCAUAUCGAUUUUGUAUGUAAAUUUUCAUGUCUAGUCGCUCACUUAUAUAUAUUCGAUNNNNNNNNNNNNNNNNNNNNNNNNNNNNNNNNNNNNNNNNNNNNNNNNNNNNNNNNNNNNNNNNNNNNNNNNNNNNNNNNNNNNNNNNNNNNNNNNNNNNNNNNNNNNNNNNNNNNNNNNNNNNNNNNNNNNNNNNNNNNNNNNNNNNNNNNNNNNNNNNNNNNNNNNNNNNNNNNNNNNNNNNNNNNNNNNNNNNNNNNNNNNNNNNNNNNNNNNNNNNNNNNNNNNNNNNNNNNNNNNNNNNNNNNNNNNNNNNNNNNNNNNNNNNNNNNNNNNNNNNNNNNNNNNNNNNNNNNNNNNNNNNNNNNNNNNNNNNNNNNNNNNNNNNNAAAUCAUGACUUUAAGGACUAUUUAGAUUAAAAUAAAACCAUAAGGACUAUUUGGAUGAAAAAUCGUGACUGUAAGGACUAUUUAGAUUAAAAUAAAACCAUAAAGAUUAAACAGAUGUCGACUUCAAACCAUAAGGACUAUACAAUAUUUUACCCCUAAGAAAAUGAAUCGGAAUGACUAUUUGGAUGAAAAAUCAUGACUUUAAGGACUAUUCAGAUUAAAAUAAAACCAUAAGGACUAUUUAGAUGAAAAAUUGUGACUUUAAGGACAAUUCAUAUUAAAAUAAAACCACAAAGAUAAACAUAUGUUGACUUCAAACCACAAGGACUAAACAAAUUUCAAUUCUUUUUUUUUCAUCGGUGUCAGAGCUUUUUUCAAGUAGAGCUUUUUUCCAUGUGCAUCUUAUCGACGGAUACCAAUGUUGUUAAGUUUGAGAGUUUUUUUUUGUUCUUUAAUUGUGAUUUAUACUUUAAUAUGAUUUUUAUUGUUCAGUUUGUGAUUCCACUUACCCAAAUGAUAGUAAUCUUAUGGUUUUCUUCAAUUUCAUUUUGUUUUUGGAGUUCAAUGGCUAUUGGAAGAGACUGAUAUUGUGUGUAUUACAAAUCGGUGAAUAAAGUAAAUUUAAAAUUAAAAAAAUAUAUAAGCCGGGUGAGAAGAGAUCGAAUGUAGGGUGAAUAAAGUAAAUAUGAAAUUGAAAAAAAUAUAUGUAGGGCGAAAAAAGAAUUUAGGGUGAACAAAACAAAAAUGGGAAAAAUGUAUUUUCGGUAUUGUAAAUGGGUGAACAAAGUGGACUUACAAUUAAAAAUAUAUAAGUGGGGUGUGAAGAGAACGUGGGUUGAACAAAAUGGUUUGUGGGGUGGUAAUAGACGCACCCACAGGAAAAUUUUCUUUGAAAGUUUGUGUUGAGGUUCUUGCAUACAGAACCAUAGAAUGGAUUGCUUUGCUCAAGUGUUUGAUUAUCACCAUUUUCAUCAGGAAACACUUUGGCAAUUCUGUCAUCCCUGAUUGGUCAUGUAUUACAUUUAGAGUCGUGUCGGUGGUCUUUAAGUUACUGAGUUCAAUGAAUGCAAUUUUUCUGGACAUCUGGCAUUUCUCUUUUGUGAUGACAGAUUGAUAAUGUUUGUAUCAAACAUGUGAAAUUUUAAUCUCAAGUGCACAAAGGAACAGUGUUAUAUCUAAACUCAAUAUGAAUUCUUAUUACAGGCUCUAAUGGAGAAAUUUUGAAAAAUGACCUAUUGUGGUUGUUCUAGGAUAUUCUGUAUCUUUCUAGAUAUUCUUUAUGUGUGCCUUGCCUUAUGCCAAUAGGAUAUGUAGUUUGACUAGAUCUAUGUAUUCAUAUCCUAACCAUAUUGGUAUUGUGUAAUUCCCUAUAUAAAUGGCUCAUAUCAAUGAAUAAGAUGAUGAUUCUCUUGUUAUCUCUUUGUCUCUACACUUUAUCCUUCAUCACAUUAUCAUGCACUUUGUUCUAACCCUAGAACUAAUAGCCCACCAUUUUUUUUCCAAACCCUAAAAACCAAAACCGGAGGUUCUCGGCCCUGCCUCGGCCGCCGCCGCCGUUGUCGCUUCCCGGCCGUCCACUCUGCUGCUUUUUUUUCAUCCGAUCAAGCAUCCAAGUGUUUACAGUAUGUUUAUUUUACAACCCUAAAACUCUUCCAAGUUCAAUAACCUCGGGGGAGAUAAAGUGCUUUCUCCCCUUCUUCUACUCCAUUCUAUGCUUGGGUCGGUGUAUUUGCAGGUGCCAAAAAUCCCGAAAUUUUAUUCGCGGGUCAAGAGUGUGUUUGAUCACUCUUGUUUCCUUGUCCGGGUUGUGUAUGAUCAACCCCAACCUAUCACCGGAUUGUGUUUGAUCAAUCCAAGGCCUUUUUCCGAAUUGUGUUUGAUCAAUUCGUGGCUUUUCCGGAUUGUGUAUGAUCAAUCUGAAGGACAAACCAUUAAAAGCAUUGUUUGUGACCUCUAUCAAGUCUCAUAACAGCUUGGUUUUGUAUGCAAGAGCAAUGUAACAUUCUGCUCCUUUGAGUUUUGACGUACUCGAUGCCUAAGGCGAAUCUUCGCUUGGUAUCUGUGGAACCUUUCAUUGGAAAUGAUUAAACCACAUGUUUUGACCCCCAGGUUAACAAGCUUAGAUGCCGAGAUUUCACAUCUCAUGCGCUCAAAGUCUUUGACGCGCUACAUCGACAAAAGUCUUCAAUGACAAUCUGUGCAAAAAGUAAUGACCACAAAAUACUGUGGAAUGCACUCAUGAAGCGUUUCUCGAAACGUUCAUAUAACUCUACUUGUUGAGUUAUUAGUCAACUGGAUUGCUUACCACUUUAAUUGACUACAUAUUGUCGAUGAUAUUUUGUGGCAUCAUGAUCCAUAAUCUUUAGCGGAUUCGAUCAUCAUCAAGUUCUCUAGGUCCUCUAAGUUGGUUUGGAAUUACCAACGAGACUUGAUUUUGAUCAUACAAAUGGGAAUUGUAUAUACGCUAAUGUGAUAAACUUAUUUGGGAUUAUCCCCUAAUGUGGGGACAACAAUAUGGGUCAUGGCAACGGUAGAAAACGUUGUGCCGAUGUCUAGAAAAGAGGGGGAGGUGUCGCCGGCUCUAAUAGCGACACUCCCGGUCUAGACAUCAUUUUGUCAAAACUACUCACGUCAGCUCAUGACAAUGCAACCGUUGUGGAUCUUCGGAUCACUGGUUCAAGAUUGUCCAGCUCCUUCAAAUUGUGAAUGCAUACAAAAAGAUACGGAAAAUCAAUAUGAGGACAAGAACGUCAUCCUCAUGAUCGCGAAUUUCAAAGAUUCGGAUCCUGCUCUAGCUACCCAUGACUUUGACGUCAUCUGUCACAUCCCGACCCUUAUAUUUUUACCUUAUUUACUAGCCUGAUUAUAAUAAAAAUUUUACCGUCUCGAUCAUUGAGUAAAUAGUUUAAUUGGUCCCUAGAGGGGUUUCGGGGACGAUUAUGUGCGGAGAAUUAUUAGUAUGAGGAAAAUACGACGACGGUAAAAAUGGUAAAUUUUAGCUAGUAAAAGGUAAUUUUUAUUCGGGUAUUAUUUUUUCGGGGUGUUUUUAUUUUUUUGGAAGUGGGUUGAUAUGGGUUGGACCGGUGGAGGCCCAACCCAUUUUCUUUUUCCUCCUCCCUUUCUCUUUUUCCGUCUUUUCUUUUCCUCUCCCCGAGCCUCCCGCUGCCCGGUUUUCCGGCUGUCCUCCCGCCGCCGUCCGACCUCCGUUCGCCGCCGGACCGGUCCCGUUCGGUCGGUCUCCCUCCCAGCAACAUUUCUAGACCGGUGAGAGGAGCCCUAGCGCCGCCGUGAGAGAGCGGUGCCGCCCGAAAGCAAGGGCUGUCCCGAACUUCCCUUCGCNNNNNNNNNNNNNNNNNNNNGUCCUUCGUCUAUUUGAGACAUCGAUGUACUCACAUUAGCAAUAAUGAAUUCCUUGAGAAUUUUUUCGAAGUUAUGAAACUAUUCUCCUCUUAUGGUUUGUAUUGAUUUACAAACAAGAUGUACAUUUUUACAUCGUCCUUAGAAGCGUGGCAUAUUUACAAUCUCAUGGUUAGAUUGUGCCGUUUUGGUCUCUUCCAAGUGAAGAUGACUCAUGACACGACAUCCUUAAAGAGGAUCGCCCACGUGUUUCCGGUUAAGUCUUCUACCCUAUGACGGAUUUUCAAUCAUCAAUUGUUCAACUAGGCUCAUCCAAGCUCAGUGUGAUGUCUUAGAAUUGUCCGAAAUUAAGGAGAUAGUGGUUUUAAGUGUGCCUCGCACUACCGACCCUCCACGGACAUGCCUGGUCAUACUGACUUGGAGUUGCCAAAAGCUUUUGAUUUUGGAUCCCCCUACGCUAUUAAACCAAUUGCCGUCUUGUAAAAGACGUUGAAGACUUAUCAAAGCCGGAAAAUUAUCAUCAUGGUCCUCUGAGUUAGUUUAUGUUCAUGUCAAGGAGCUUUUGCUAACUAGUCAUGGAGUUUACAACCUUAGAACGACCGAAAGGACUUGGUUUUGAUCAUACACACGUCAUUUUUGGCUAAGGCAAAAGCCUACACACCACCUGCAAGCUUCACAACUUCGCACAUGUCAAUUCUGCGAAAAACAGCAAUCUGUCCCUUCUGGACAGUAUUCAUUUGAGCUUUGUGAACAGCUCUGGACGAACCAGGCAGUGAGCUUUAUACCAUUGGAAAGCUCUACGAGUAUAGUUUUCAGAACUUUUCGCGGUUCAUCCAUAUCUAUUUUAACGAAGAAGUUAUGGUUGUUUUAGUGCGCAAAGGUCAUUCUGUGCGGAAAUUUUUAUGCACUAUCGGGAUUGCAGUUUUUCGUAGCUUCUUUCAAUCCUUCUAAAUAGUUCAAGUGGAACUAUUAACUAGCCUAUCUACUCCUUCUUGUACAUAUGUCUCAUCGAGACAUUGAGUGCUUCGCAGAUAGUGGAACUAUCCACAACAUUCUAAGGAACCGGCAACUAUCUUUGGAUUUUGUGCCUUUGUAAAUCUUCUGUGACUACAAUGAUUGAAUCAUACAUGUCAUUCAAGGAUACGGUUUAGCUUGAAUCUUGAUGCCUCAUGGCACCAUGAUCAAUGUCACAGAUACCUUCUAUGCAUUGAGAGGCAAUCAAAUCAUAUUGAGCUUUAAAGACAUUCAUGUUAAUAGUUUUCAUUUGAAAACAUAUUGUGAGAAUGAACAAGAAUUCUUUUGUGUAUACCUUCUCAUGAAUGCGGACUGAAAUGCAUCUUAGAGAAAUUUAUGAGUUAAUCUAGUGGACUGUAUGUCACUACGAUUCGAAUAUCGAAUCUCAUGUUGUCGCCAAACAUGAUAUUUGGGACACCGACUCAUAUAGGCUUUGGUUUGACCAAAUUGGUCAACCUGGAAGAGAUAUAAUGGUCCAAAUUUUGAGAAAUUCUCAUGGACAUCCAUUCUUCUGCUCAAAACGAAGACAUUUGAGAUCUAGCAUCACCAUGAAGCAUGGUGGUGACCCGGGGGACAUUGACGUCACCCGAACACAACUCCAACUUCUUGGAGGUCGUCCAGUCAAUUCCUCAAGCAAUUGAGGUGCACCAGCCUUCUCUCGAUGUCGCAUUGGCCCCCUGCAAUACUCAUUACUCGUUUUGAAAGCCUAUUCUUUAGCUAAAUUAGGAGUGAGACCCUCCUACGCUAAAUGACACAAAAGAGAAUAUUCAAUUCUUACAUCAAACUAUAUAGAUAGAUACAACCAACUUGCGGACACCUUUUUAUGCUUCAUGGUGUUGGUUGAAGUGUUAACACACUGGUCACAUGUUACACUAUUAUCUACUGCUUAUGCUGCUUAUACUUCUACGGGCUCACUACCCAUUCUUUAAAGAAGUUUAUCGGGAUGUAAGUUGAAGUGCCAUGUACCCCAUGUUCACACGCAAUACGGUCUCACCGAGGUUACGACCAAGCAACUUUAGCUUGUCGCUCGAACAUUAUUGAUGCGCACCAAUCUUUCUAUUGCGUCUUGGGGCUAUGCAAUAUUUGCAUGUAGUUUUACUAUUCAUCUACAACUCACCAUCAUUGAAUAUUGUUGUACUACAGCUGGUGACUGUGUACUAGGAUUGACACGAAAUUGCAAUCCUUGAGCUUGGCAAGAUUGAAACGGAUCUCCAAUCCUUGAGCUCAGCUAGAUGUUUAUUCUAGGUGCCAAAUCGCACUGCCACCGCACACAAUGAUGGGUCAUUUGAGAUGAAUAAGUAUUUAGGUUGGAUGUGAACCUCCACCUAUAAUCCGCAUAUGUAGAAACCUUGUCAGGCGAUCUCUUUCACCACUAUAUUGCGGAUUGUCACUUUGAUGAGACAAUAUUCCCGCCGUUAGGGGGAGAUAAGAAUACAAGUGUUCAAGUGGAACGACGUGAAUUGUCGUGGUUUGUCCCCACUAAGUCUCAUCUUGAUCCCAAAUGCUUAAAGUGUUAAAGUGACGAGAUCACAUGCUGCAAAUAUGUCUGCAAGGAUUGAUGUCCCAUCAAGAGGACAUGGCGCGACCAAAAGGUGUUGGUCUUGACGCCAUCACCAUGGAUGGUGAUAUAGUGACGUCAUAUAGUGGCAAAAUUGGUGUCACAAGGCCGUGUGGCUCCCUAAAAAGAGGGAGACCCUUAGGUUUGAUACUUUCUCACACUAGGAAGAAAGCGAGCUUGGCAUAACUUGAUCCAUUGAUCAGUGAUACUCAAAUCUGUCUCAUGAAAUCUGAAUUGUGAUUAUCGUUGGGGGAUGCCUCAAUGUCAAAUCCAAUCCAUGUAGAGAUCUCUACAAGUAUUACACUAAUGUAUACGAGGACGUGGGAUAAUGAGUCUACUAUCGAACCACCCUUUGUUGAUGGAUAUCAACUUAGUUGAUUGGCCUAAUGGAAAGAUGCGAUCUAGCAUUAACAAAGAGAUAGGUCCUUGGGCAGGUGAUGCCGACACCGCAAGCUAAACCCUAUCAACUAUGUCUUUGUUAGAUAGCGUAGUGAGAACUUUAUGGCGUAAGGUCUCUCACUAUCACGCACUGGGAUCGACUAUGAUGAGAUAUGCUCUCGUAAUGGAUGUCAUUGAACUCCACUACUUUGUCAGUUUGGUAGUUUCUGAAUAACUGAACAUGCAGCCUAUGAAUGUGAUCAUAAUAACAUCUCUAUGGGAUCAGAGAUAUACAUGAAGGUCUUAAACGGACUUCAUUCAUCCGAAUCAAGUGGUUCCUAACCACAAGAGCAUGCGUUUGCUAAAUGUAUUAAAACGCACAUGGACUCUACUUGAUUUGGAAGGGAUAUGGUGAAUUAUGCCUUUGCGUGUUCAUUCCAGAUUUACAUGGAUUCUUGAUGGAUCAAGAGAUGCCAAUAUGUAUCAACAUCCGAAGAAAAAGAUCUUGGGAAGACACGGUCUCGAUAAGGCAGUCGAUGACUGUAUUGAUGAUGAUGUUCCAUCAAUCGGCUUAGACGCUCUAACGAAAGUGAGGCCUACAUAUACUCCCAUGAUUAGUCAAGGUCUUUGCUCUAAAGAGAGAUCCAUUAUUUUGUCUAAAGAAAAAUGACAAAUAUGUGUUAAGAGAUGGAGUUCUCAUCUAAGUACAAUAAAACGCAUCAAUGUACUCAACACAAUACGAAAGACUUGACAUCUCAUUCGCUAUGAAAAGUUGUAAAGCUAAAUGUAGCUAUGCGCCCACGCAACGCCAAUGUAAUGGCAGUAACUCUUUUUUCAAUACUUAAUGGUAUGAAAGGUUAAGGCUUAUUCUAUCCCUUCAUAAGAAAGACACAUCAAAAGCGAAAUCAGAAUCUGCCAAGUUUUGUAGGUCAACUUCCACGGGACCUACAUGAAAUCUAACUCACUGGAAAAUUGUGAAAUUGGUACCAUUGGAAAGGUCUAUGUGUCUACUUUCCAGGGACACCAACCAUUUGAUCAUACCUAUCAUAUUGAGUGAGUUAUGGCCAUUUUCGUAAAGUAGGACGAAUCUGUCCGAGAAUCUGAUUUUGGCAAAACAGUCAACUUCGACGGGACUUUGUGAAUAGCUCCUGACGAACCAGAACGUGUGUAAUAUACGGUUGGAAAGCUCCAUGAGUCUAGUUUCCAAAACCGUUUACGGUUCAUUCAUAUAUAUAUCGUAGAGGAAGUUACGGCUAUUCUAGUAACUAAAGGUCAUGCUACGCGGAAAUCUAAUUUACUGCACGAACUUAUGUCUUGAGUUCACAAGCGGCCUUCUCCUCAAGAUCUAAGUGUAAAAGAUCAUUUGAUGACAAUACGGCAUGAUUUAGUUAAUCAUUGCCUAAUACCACAUUUGAAAACAUGUUAAAAAGCAUUGACAUGCUAAGUUGUUGAAACUUCCGUGAUUAGUAAAAAUUAGGAAGAACCCUAUGAUUGAUGUAAAGAUCAGGGGGAGGUGCGAACUUCAGGGGGAGUUUAGCACAUACAUUCAUGUCGCUAUAAAAUGUGAAGGGUGCGUUGUACUCUUUUUCUCCUACGAUCAAGGUUAAGCUUUUGUCCCAUAGGGUUUUUAUGACUUGACGAGGUUUUUGAUGAGGCAACAGAUAUUCUUUAUGUGUGCCUUGCCUUAUGUCAAUAGGAUAUGUAGUUUGACUAGAUCUAUGUAUUCAUAUCCUAACCAUAUUGGUAUUAUGUAAUUCCCUAUAUAAAGGGCUCCUAUCAAUGAAUAAGAUGAUGAUUCUCUUGCUAUCUCCUUGUCUCUACACUUUAUCCUAAACCUAAACCAUAAACCCUAAACCCUAAACCCUAAACCCUAAACCCUUAGAGCUAACUUAGGUGACGAAAAUACAUUUCGUCAUGUAAGUGAUGGGUUAGGUAACGAAAUAUAUUUUCGUCACCAAAGUUUUGAGCAUUUAGGUGACGAAAAUACAUUUCGUCAUGUAAGUGAUAGGUUAGGUGACAAAAUAUAUUUUUGUCACCAAAGUUUUGAGCACUUAGGUGACGAAAAUGCAUUUCGUCGCCUAACAACUUACUUUUGUGACGAAAAUAAAUUCGUCGUCUAACACCUUUGCUUAGGUGACGAAACAUAAAGUUGUGUGUCUUUUUGAACCAACUAUGGGGUAGAAGUAAAAUUUAGAAAACCCAUCAUACUAUAUGAUCAGUGUACUUAAAUACGGCUAUGAAAAAAAAUCCACCAGUUUUCGAAAACAUUAAGGUCUCGAUCCACGCGGUUAACAUUAAAUUAACGGCACUUAUUACACGAAAACGCUUUUACCUACUCCUAUACGACCUAGUUUGAUUGAUUCUUUCACACACAAAACUCUCACAUUGAUGAGAUGUAAUGACCCAUGUAAAAAUUUGGGGACGUUCACCUCUUGACGAUAGAGCUCCACAUAGAGAAACAUAAGCGUAUAUAGGGUUAACCGCUUGUAUCGGGGACCAAACGUUACCAGAAAUAUAUGAUUUUUCAACCAUAGUCGUAUUUCACCAUACCGAUGACAUCCUAUUUCAAAAGAUUUUUGAAAAUAUUGCUUUACAAAUAUCUACACUUGCAUGUAACCUACUAAACAAGUUAGACCACAUUAGUAGACAUGUUGUGGUUCCGAUGGCUAAAUUUUACAAAAUGAAAAUUCAACUGUCUGAUAUGAUCAGUGUACUUAAAUACGGCUAUGAAAAAAAAUCCAUCAGUUUUCGAAAAUGUUUAGGUCUCGAUCCACGCGGUCAACAUUAAAUUAACGCUACUUAUUUUACACGAAAACACUCUUACCUACCCCUAUAUGACCUAGUUUGAUUGAUUAUUUCACACACAAAACUCUCACAUUGAUGAGAUUAACCACUCAUGUAAAAAUUUGGGUACGUUCACCUCUCGAUGAUAGGGCUCCACAUAAGGGAACAUAAGCGUAUAUAAGGUUGACUGCUUGUAUCGGGGACUAAACGUUACCGGAAAUAUGUGAUUUUUCAACCGUAGUCGUAUUUCACUAUACCGAUGACAUCCUGUUUCACAAGAUUUUUGAAAAUAUUGCUUCAUUUUUUCUAACAAGAUCACAUUCUAUCAAAACCUUUUUCUUUUUAGGAAAUAAAUAAAUGUGUUGAAAUUAAAAUAAGACGACGAAAUAUAUUUAUUUCAUCAACUAAGUCCCAAAGUUUGAAAAUUUUUGGUUCACUGAGAUGACGAAAAUUUAUGUCUUCGUCACCUAACUACUUAAUAUUUGGCGGGUCGAAAAUUCCGUCAAUUUUUUAGGCCAAAUUUUGUAUUUGACUUAAGUGACGAAACGGCUUCAUUCGUGGGCUGAGUUUGUUUUUGUAAACCCAAAUACAGGGCAACAAGUCCCAUACUCCUAUUAACUCUGAAAUCCCUAAAUCGAUCGUAUCGAUUCCAACUUUCCAAGCCGUCUCCGCCCACAUCGCCGUCGCGUCCACAUUGUCGUCUCUUCCCUUGCUCCAUUGAUCCCAUUCGGCCUCUCCCGCGCUGAUCUCGUCUUAUUCAUCUCCUCAUGGCCAAUUUCUUUGUGAAUUUGGAUUGAUUAGUUCAACGAAGGAGGAGAAUCGAAGCCGAGUAGCUUUCGAAUUUGCAGAGAUUAUUCUAAGUUAAUCAGCAACGCCUUCCAAAACAUGAGGUGAGAGACCUCUAACCUCUUCUACUCGUUGAGUUUCAUAUCUAGGUGUAUUAAUUUUUAGAUUUUGAUCAUGUUCUGAACAAAUUGGUUUUUGGGUGUUAUCGGUUAUCGGCAGAGUUAUCGUCCUCGGCGGAGCUCCUAAGUUCUUCUUCCAUGUCUAGAAAGAGUAUUGGCAUCUUGUCAAGUUUGAUCAAUUGCUGAGAAGGUUGAAUUCGUGAGUUCGAGUAGUUUUUGCCACCACUGCGCCACCGUUUGUGGUGAAGGCCUAAGUUCCUUCUUCAGCUUGAUUUGCAUUAUGAAUUGUGUACUGAUGUUUAAUUAUGACUUAAAUCACAGAAGCUGUAUGUUUGAUGAUUUGGGUCAAGUUUCUGUUAAGGACUUUUGGGGUUGCUUCAUUAUGGAUGCAUGAACAGAGCAGGGGAUUGCUGUACAAUCUACAUCCAGAAUUAAUACUGAGUCUGGGGUAUCACUGUGUUCACCACUGAAUCUAAUUAAGGUGAAGGUGAGCUUCAAAUUUAUAAUCAUGCAUGAGCUACAAGUGUUUAAUAUAAUACUAUUAAGUAUUGAUUCGGGAAUUUGGAAAUGGAUUAUGUGAAUGGUAAUGGUUGAUUGAGUAACAUAGAAUGUCAUAUUGGGAAGGAAGAAUGUUUUAGAUUAAUCACAAGGGUGUGAUUGGUGAGACCAUGAGAGCUUGAAUAUAUUCAUGUUUGACAUUCUGUAUGAGUGGCUGGGCAUAGUUGUGCCUUUUUUAUUUGUUAAAUUGUUAUCAUUGGAGGAAUGGAGUUGAACUUCAGUAUUUAAAUUUGGUCUAUUGAAGAUGACAUACUAGUCAUCAAGAAUGAUACUGAAAUGGUAGUAAUGAUCUUCUUUGAGCUAUAUGACUAAGUUGGUAAGUUGCAACUUGGUAUUCAUGACUGGUCGGUAUGAACAUGUACCUAAAAGGUCUCAUGGAAUUUGAAUGAUAAUUAUAAAUUGGGAAUGUGGUAAUAGGGAAUUAAAAAUCAAAUUGGGAGUGUUAAGGACUUUCAAUAUGGUUAGUUUUCAUUAACUUGCAAAAACAUGGUUAAAAAUCAAUUUGAAUGCCUAAAAAGGAUUAUUAUUCUUCAAAAUUUGAGUAAAUUUUGGAUAUUGGUUUCUGGGUUUUGAGCUUUAGCAUUUAGGGUGAUGAGUAGGUUCAAUAUGAAACUAUUUUAACUCUGUGUAGGAGGCUUAUUGUAUACUGAGAGUUGAUGCGACUGACUUUAACUAUGUGAAAUUAGUAAAAAGAAUAAAGUUGAGUCCUUGGCAUCAGUAUUUUAACUCUAGAGCAUCUUAAAUUGAGUCCUUGGCAUCAGUUUAGCUGCUACUAACCCUCUUCUUACGAUAAUAUGAAUGAUUCUGUGUUAUGUAUAUGUACAUUGUACAAUCACCAAUUAACUAUGUAUGACUGACCAAGAAUGCCUCAGGAACUCACCCUAGCCUGCACUUUCCCAUCAACUCCAACCAUAUCCUUCCUUUUCGUACUGGGUCAUCACUUUUGUUCCUCUCCUUCUUCCAUGCCUAUAUUUUUUUCCUAACACAUACUGCUCAUUUCUUUGUUCUUUUCUCUUCCAAACCUGUAUAUUUUGUAUGGCUUCUCCCCUCUUAUUUCAUUUGUUUUGCACAGUAGCCAGUGUGUUUAGUUAGUACGAUUAAAACCGAUUAAUUAUUGUAUUGUUUUUGCAUUUUCAUUAUGUUUAGUUACAUGUGUCUUUGGCUAACUAAUACUAGUUGGUGUGUUGUUUUUCUUCUGUUGUGCUUCCCUAAUGAAUUGGUUCUUGCUUUGCAUACAGAUCAUGAUCAUGUCUUCAACAGUGUGAGCAGUUUCUCUUCACCAAAUUCGGCGUAUGCCAGCCAACAGUCCCACCCCAGGAGUAGCCUAAUGAUGAUGAUCAUGAUGAUGGAGGCAAUGAUUCAAUUAACAUUGCUUCAUAGUCACUUUCAUAGUUACUAGUUUAUUUUCUAAUAUAUAUUUUGUAUAUAUGAACAAGUCUAUAUUUUCAAGUACUACUCUUGAGUUUGUAUAUGAACUUGAUUAGGAAUAUAUAUAUAUAUAUUUGCUACUGCCCCAGGUGCUUUGGCCAAUAGUGGGUUUUUGAAAUAUUGAGUUCUUUUUUUUUUUAAUUUAUUUAUGUUAAUAUUAAAUGUGAUAUUAAUAAUUUUUAAUGAUUAAAUUUAUUAAAAAUAAAUAGCACUAAGGUGACGAAAGUUAAACUUUCGUGGCCUUAGCCGGAUGAAAGAAUUGUCAGCAAACUGACUGUUUUCGUAGUGUAGUGUUUUGGUAACGAUGAAUUUCAUCAACUUAGCUGGUCACACUACGUCACAAUAGAUCAUAGACCAUGAAUUAUAUUUCGUUUCUCAAGUACUAUGGCGACGAAAUACUUUUCGUCAGCUAACCAACUUGGUGACGAAAUAACUUUCGUCAGCUAACCAACCUGGUGACGAAAUUUUUUCGUCAUCUAAGUAACUUGGUGACGAAAAAGUUUUCGUCAUCUAAGUAAUGACUAAAAUGAUGAAAUACAUAUUUUCGUCACCUAAGUGCUCACACCACCGCCCUUAGGUGACGAAAUUUUCGUCGUUUUAGUGCUUACAUGACGACAGAAGCUCUUAGGUGACAAAAAUAUUUUGUCACCUAAGAACUUUUUUCUAGUAGUGGUUAAACACUCUUCCUUGACUAUCACUCAUUUAUGAUGUUCUUUUACGUAUUUCAAUAUAUUUAUAUCGUUAAUCGAAUAUCUCUCACCUCUCUUUUUCUUCUUUUCCAAAUCCAGAACCAAUCUUUGAUCUUCCGGUCUCUCUUCUCUGCACUUUUUCUCUAACAAUGUUGAGUUUCUCUUGGACCAUUAGUUCAUUACUGAAUUCAAUUAAUAUACAAUCCAAGUGGGGUUUUAGUAUCAACAUAACCCCUUCUAAAGCCAUAAUUAUUUUAUUUACUGUAGGGUUGUUCAUAUAUCAUUUCAAGGUAAGAUUUUUAACAAAAAAUAGUGACGAUUCUUAUAUGACCUAUAUUCAUUGUUGCUCAAUCAAAAUAAAAAAAAUUAGAUAGCAGAAACAACUCAAAAACCUUUAAAACAAUAACCAUGGACUGAGAAUGAAACCUUAGACCAUAAUUAGCACAAUUGAAUAUGAUUGGAACGUAUUCUAAACUAGUGUUGACGGUUGAGUAAGUUCUUGACUUUCUUGUGGUUGGAAGGUCAGUAAAUGUUUUCAUUUGUGAAGUGCAGAAGAAGGAUAAUGACGUGAGAAAAAGAUGAGAAAAACUGGAAUUGGUGAAGCAUCAUUUAAUAUAACAAGGAUAAUUGCGACUUUUCCUCAUUUUAAGUGGUUAUUUCUCAAAAAAAUUUAAAAUUAAGGUUAUAAAUCAAUUCGAGUGUUUAAAUAUGGUUGUUUUUCAAAAUUUCUCGCUCUAAUGCUAGUCCAAGUGGGAGAAUGUUAGAAUGGACUUAGCAUUUUGAGUCCUAAAGCAUGACAACUUCCAUAAUAUAUGCAGAGUAAAUAUUGUGGGAUUAAAAGCACAUUAUCAUGAUAUAUUUAUCUAAAUGAAAUGGUUAGAUAAGUAAUGAAAUACAAUCGAAUUAUCUUGUUAAACAAGAUAAUAGAGAUGGACUAAUAUUGUUGUUUUCUAAUGGAACUCAAACUCUUGGAUGGACAGAGUUGAGCUAUCCAACAUUAUCAUGAUAUAUUUAUCUAAAUGAAAUGAUUAGAUAAGUAAUGAAAUACAAUCGAAUUGUCUUGUUAAAUAAGAUAAUAGAGAUGGACUAAUAUUGUUGUUUUCUAAUGGAACUCAAACUCUUUGAUGGACAGAGUUGAGUUAUCCAAAGUGUAGUAUAUAAAGAGGUCCCUAUGCACACUCUAAACUACGUCAAUACGAGUCUCUCUCCAUCUGAGCAUGGUAACUGAGUGCUGCAUAGAGGAUCCCUUAUCCUUGGAGCUCUUGGUCUACAUCAACGACUACGGUAAACAUGUUGUAUAUCCUCAUCCUUGUUCUAUGACCUUGUAUGAGUUGUAUCUAUAUACGUGUUUAUGCUUAAGUGUUUUUCUCUUUGUGGUUGUAGUAUAACAGCCAAAUAUUUUGGGGUGCACUACUAGAAUAAAGGACUUAGGCGACGAAAACACAACGACAAAAACAUUUUCGUCGUCUAGGUAUGCAGUUAGGCGUCGAAAACUUCAUUCGUCACCUAAAAUAACUUAGGUGACGAACCAAAUAAUGAUUCGUCGCCUUAGAUUACCAAGGAGACAAAAAAAGGACUUAUACUAUUUUCGUCGCCUUAAUAGAUAUUCAGGCGACGAAGAUGAUUUCGCCGCCUAAAAUAUGAACCACUUAGGCGACGAACAUAUUAUUUCGCCGCAUAAGUUUAUCUUAGGCGAUGAAAGUGGUUACUUAUGCGACGAAAAAGUUUCGUCGCCUAAGUAAACUCACUUAAUCUCCAUUCAGUUUCUAGAUCUGAAACAGAUGGGAAAAAAGGGGAACUUGACAAGAUAGCCAUGUCUUGUUGUCAUUAUCUGAUUUUCUCAUUCUCAUUUAAAUAAUUUAGGAUAUAAUUUAUGUAGCCAAUUUUUAUCUUGAUAUAAUAUAACUACUGUUAUGUAUUUUUAUUUGAAACAUAUAUAUUUAUGUUUUUCCAAUGAUCACUUCAUUUAUGUUUUUAUUUGGUAUAACUUGUUUAAUAGGUUACAUGCAAGUGUAUAUUUUUGUGAACCAACUAUAUAUAAGAAGCAAUAUUUUCAAAAAUCUUGUGAAAUAGGAUGUGAUCGGUAUGAUGAAAUACGGUUAUGAUUGAAAAAUCAUAUAUUUCCAGUAACAUUUGGUCCCCGAUAGAAGCGGUCAACCCCAUUUACGCUUAUGCUUUUAUAUGAGGAGCCUUAUCGUCGUGAGGUGAACGUCCCUAAAUUUUUACAUAGGUGGUUAGAUCUCAUCAAUGUGAGAGUUUUGUGUGUGGAAGAAUCAACCAAACUAGGCCAUAUUGGGGUAUGUAAGAGCGUUUUCAUGUAAUAAGUGACGUUGGUUUAGGUUUGACUGUGUAGAUCGAGACCAAAAACCUUAUCCAAAACAUGUGAUAUUUUUUUCCAUAGCUGUAUUUAAGUAUACUAAUUAUAUCAUACGGUUGAAUUUUUAUUUUAUGAAAUUUAACUAUCGGAACCACAACGUGUCUAUUAAUGUAUUAUAACUUAUUUAGUAGGUUAUAUACAAGUGUACAUUUUUGUGAACCAACUAUAUAUAGGAAGCAAUAUUUUUUAAAAUCUUGUGAAAUAUGAUGUGAUCGGUAUGAUGAAAUACGGCUAUGAUUGAAAAAUCACAUAUUUUCUGGUAACGUUUGGUCCCCGAUAGAAGCGGUCAACCCCAUUUACGCUUAUGCUUCUAUAUAGGGAGCCUAAUCAUCGGGAGGUGAACGUCCUUAAAUUUUUACAUAGGUGGUUAGAUCUCAUCAAUGUGAGAGUUUUGUGUGUGGAAGAAUCAACCAAACUAGGCCAUAUAGGAGUAUGUAAGAGAGUUUUCCUGUAAUAAGUGGCGUUGGUUUAGGUUUGACCGUGUGGAUCGAGACCAAAACCUUAUCGAAAACAGAUGAAUUUUGUUCCAUAGCUGUAUUUAAGUAUAUUGAUCAUAUCGUACGGUUGAAUUUUUAUUUGUGAAAUUUAACCAUCGGAACCACAACGUGUCUACUAAUGUAAUAUAACUUGUUUAGUAGGUUAUAUGCAAGUGUAAAUCUUUGUGAACCAACUAUAUAUAAGAAGCAAUAUUUUCAAAAAUCAUGUGAAAUAGGAUGUGAUCGGUAUGAUGAAACACGGCUAUGGUUGAAAAAUCACAUAUUUCGGGUAACGUUUGGUCCCCAAUAGAAACGGUCAACCCCAUUUAUGCUUAUGUUUCCCUAUGGGGAGUCUUAUCGUUGAGAGGUGAACGUCCCUAAAUUUUUACUUUGGUGAUUAGAUCUCAUCAAUGUGAGAGUUUUGUGUGUGGAAGGAUCAAUCAAAUUAGGCCAUAUAGGGACAUGUAAGAGCCUUUUUGUGUGUUGUAGAGUAGCUCUGACGACGAAACUGAUAAUUUAGUCGCCUUAGUAACUAAAUUUGGGCGGGUAGAUAAAAAAUUUGGUCUACUUUAGCGGUGAAAUAUUUCACCUUCGUCGCUUAAGUCUCUAAAUUCGGCGGCAGCAUUUUGCGCUCAAAAUUUGGCCUAAAAUUUGGACCCAUUUUUCAAAACUAGUUUGGGCUGGCAGGGGACAAAAUUUUCGUCUGAUGGUCGCCUAGUGUAGAUUACUAAACCAAAAACUCACCCAAAAUCCCGUAGUGUCGACAGACGCCUCCCAAUUUUCUUCCUCUGCUAUCGAACCCUGCAAACCCUCCCAAUUCCUAAUCGAUCUCCACCCAAUCCCUAAUCAAUCUCCACCCUCAUCUCUCCUCCCAUCUGCGCCUCUCUCUCAUCUCUCCUCCGUAUUCAAUCUCCACCCUCAAACUCUCUCGAGUCUCCCCUCAUCUGCGCCUCUCUCUCAUCCCACCACAAACCUAAACCGAUCCAUAAGAAGGUGAGGGUUUAUGGUUUUUUUUUCAGUUGCUUUUUGGGUUUCAAACUCAAAAUUCCCAAGAAGUAGCUUUGGGUUUGUAAAUACUUCGGUGGAUUUUGGGUUUCUGAAAUUGGAUUUUGGAUUUUGUAGGUUGAGGCUGAGGAGCAGCUUGACAUUUUCGUGGCUUUUUUGGUUUCUGCUGUUCCCUUCUUUGCAAUGAGAUUAAGGUAUAAAAGAGAGGAAUCAGUACCAGCUUUCCUAGGAUUUUAGUUUCAGGGUUUAUUUUCUUGUUUUAUUGUUUAUGGCUUUUUGUGUUCACUGUAUUUGCCUCUGACCCCAUUUGAUCUUAUUGUACUUUGAGGUUAAAUCUAAUCUGUUGAAUCAUUGUGUUCUGCAAAAUUGGGUUUUCUAUAGUUGUGAUUCUGAUCUGGUGGGAUUUGUUAACAUGGUUAUUGUCCUUUUCCCUCAAGCCACUGUCUUUGAUCUAAACUCCCCUGGUUUUGUUGUUGAGGAGAAUCUUAAAGACAUGUAGCUGGAUCUCAAAUUUGGCGAGUACUGAGAAUGGCGAUAAAAAUUUAUUACUGCAGAUUAUGCAUUCCAUCUCAUAAACAAAAUUACUACAUGUUUCACUGAUGUUAGGUUCUUUGUUUCUUCUAGGAUUGGAUAGUUAUCUACGUGUUUGGAAUGUAAAGACGCGGGAACUACUCUCUGCGGUAUGUGUUUGGCUUUUAUUGUUUUUAUGUGACAAAAUUCCCCGAGUGAAAGUAACAGUUGUUGCUAUCUGUUGAAUAAAACUCUUGACAAUGUCUGAUCCGGUUGGAUUUUAUUAUUUCCUAAUUCUUAUAAUGGAAUCAUGUAUGUGAAUCUGUAAUUGUGAGUAUGAGAUUUUCAUUGGUAGACUCCAAUUUGUAAAUAUUGUCAAGAGACUUAUAAUAAAGUGGCUAGACCUAACUUAAAGCUCAAGAAUUCUUAGACAUGAACUGGCUGUUUGGGCACCCUUAGGACUUCGUGUAUAUAGUUAUGCUCUCCUGCAUACAAACAUUGUGAUAUAUAAUUAUCUAUCUAGUAUAAUCAUAGCUCAAGCUGUAAUUGAUUUUGAAAUGUGGUCAGGUGAGUAAUGAUUGAUGUGCACUGCCGCUUUUGGAAUUGUUUAAGGUUAAUUCUCUAGCUUUUUGUCUAAGCUGGUUUUUAGGAUUUAAAUUUGAAUCUAGUGCAUCGGCUCCAUAUCUAUUUCUCUGUUAUCCCUUUUAUGGUUACUGUAGUGUGUGUAUCUACUUGAUGGAACAUUCUGGUAUUUUAUUCAAGAGAUGAGGUUUUCAAAUUUCUUGAAUGACUAUAGAUCCUGAUCUGGGCACAUUCAAAGAUUUGUUAGACUAGUCUUUUCAGCUCAAAGCACUCUUUCUUAGUACCUCUCUGUUUUGAUGUGUUACAAACAAAUUUGGGGUUUUCUUGGACAUGCUUUAGAUUUGAUGUAUUUCCAGUUAAAUGUGUGCAGAUACACAUUUUCGCGGCCAAUAUAAUUUGUUAAGCUUUCUUGUUUAUUUUCCUAGUUCUUUACACUUGCCUCUUUCUUGUGCUUAUUUUCUUCAGGACUCUUGGCCAAUGUAAAUUUAGAAGAACGACCAAAACCAAGCAGCCUCAAGAAAACAGUACUCAUAAGCAAAAAUGCACUGCCCAAAUGGGAAAUCAAUGGAUUUGUGGAGUACAUCUCCGGCGGGCCUCAACCAGGCAGCAUGUAAUUUGCCGUACGUGUUCUUUUCUGUGUUUGCUUAUUCAUUUACUUCAUUUAUAUGACACUUACUGUACUGUACUGGACACUUGCUUUCAGUUAUUGUCGUUGUGUGUUGCUUUGUGUUUAUAUGUUGUUGUGUGUUGCAACAUCUAAGUGUUGUUGUGAAUUGAUGAAAUCCCAUAUGUUAUAGCUAAGUAUUGGUGUGUGUUGAUGUGUUGAAAUAAAGGGGCUUAGGAGAGUUGAAAUUGUGGGCAAGGAAUGAGCAACAAGGCCUUCUUGUCGCAAUGAUAUAGUUCUUGAGGAGAUUUGGGAGCAUGCCCGACAAGCCCAAGAGGAGGCACGACAUGCUUAGGAGGAGGCACAAAAAGCCCGGGAGCAGGCCAGAGUAGCCCAGGAGAAGAUCCUUGAUUAUGAGCGCCGUAUACAGAUGUUGAAGAAGUGUGCAGUCGCAGCCGAGCCGACAAGAAGGCCAACAGUCUAAGGUUGAUGGUUGAAGCUAGGUCCAUAGCUUUUUGCUUUUAUGGAACCCUUGAUAUUUGCUUCUUUUGUUAAACAUUGUCUAUAUAGGAUUGUAAGAGGCUAGGAUAUUAGGGAGGGUUUAAACUAUGAACUUUGAACUUGCUCUUUUGUUUGUGUAUAUAAUACCUCCUGGAAGUUUACUAGUUUUUCAGUUUGAACUUCUUUUGUUAUGAUUUUGAUUUGCAUCACAGGUUUUUAACUUUGAAUGUGAAUUUGAAAAUAUGCACAUAUAAUUACUGUGUGCAUAUCAGUAAUACUUAGAUUUUUUUAAUAAUAUAUAAUUAUAAUUUAAAAACAUAUAUAUAAAAUGUUCAAUUAAGUCUUAUGCGGCGAAAAAUGAGGAACCGUCGCCGGGGUUGGAUCCUCGCCUUAAACAUGGCGACGAUUAAUAAAUGGUCGCGUAAAAGGAAACUAAGGCGACUAUAAUUUCCCUUCGUCACCAAGUGUAGGCGACAAUAAUUUCGACGCCUAAAUAUGUCUGUUUUCCUCACCUUAGACUUAUGCGGCGAUAAAUAAAUAGUCGUCUAAGUAUCUAUUUAGGCGACCAUUAUUUUUUAUUCGUCGUCUAAGUUCUUACGGGUCCAUGCUAAGGCGAGGACUGUUAGGCGACGAAGCUUUCGUCGUGUGAGAACUUAGGCGACGAAAAUGGGCAUUUAGGCGACGAAAACUGUUUGUCGCUUAAGUCUUUUAUUCUAGUAGUGGUGGUGAAAUAUCUUCUCGAGCUUCUUGUUUUUCUUUCCGUAUAGGAAAUUAAUAUUAAUUCUUGUAUAUAUUAAUUCGAUCUUGAUUUGCAUGGCAAUGCCACUAUAUUAGCAGUAAGAUUAUUGGUCACUUAAGAUUAUUGGUCACUUUAGAAUCGACUAAAUUGGUUUUACUCAUAUAUAUCGUAACUUUCCCAUCAAUGAAAUUAAUCAAUUGCAAUUUGUUUACUUAAAAAAUUGUCAACAUUCGGGUGUUGGUGACUACUGCUAUAAAAGUGUUGUACUCGACGACAGCGACAAAUGAUGCUUUUUAGAUGACCGUGGCUGGUUGUUCGACGACAUAGUUGAUAGGAUUUCGAUCAUCACAUGGUAGUUCAUGUAUAGGUUUGGCUUUUGGGUUCCAAUUACUUGGAUUCAUUGUUUCGUUUGCUUCCAUAAUAGUAAGGGAUGCUGGAAAUUUAGGUAUCAAAGAACUAAGACAGACAUAACUCCUUAUAUAUUAAAUAUACAGUCGGGAUCAGAGGUAGACGUCCGCACACUCUUAAAGUGAGGACGUGCCUCCGUUCUCCACCGUACGGCUCCGACGACGCAGCGCCUCCACCCCAGCUGUCUCUAGCAGCGUCCCCGAUCACUUUUCCUCCCCGGCGAGUCCGCUGAAUUCCAGUUUAAAGGCGAGAUCGAUUUUGUUGGAAGUUUUGGGUGAUCUCGCCGGAAAACUGGAAUUCGGCUGACUCGCCGAGGAGGAAAAGUGAUCAGGGACGCUGCUGGAAGCCGCUGGGGUGGAGGCACGCCUUCGUCGGAGCCAUACGGAGGAGAACGGAGGGACGUCCGCACUUUAAGGGCUGUGCAGACGUCUUCUUUAGAUCCUCUCUGAUUAAAUAUAUAUAUAUACAUGUCCGUUCUGGUGCGGACGUUCGCACUCGGCUUAAAGUGCGGACGUCCGCACUCGAACGUUUCUGUGUGUGUAUAUAUAUAUAUAUUAUCUCAAUGAAGUUGCCUAAGCCUAACUAAUUUUCUAACAACAAUUCAUCAAUCAUGCACCAGAGUCCAGUGGGACUAGAUUUUCGGUGAGGAAACGGUGUGAUAUUGAUGAAAAAAAUCUCUAUAGCUUCACCUCAAUCAACAUGCGUGACACUCGUUCAUUUCAAGAACCUGGAGAUCAUAUAUAUGUCCUAAUAACAAGUUACCUUGUUGACUUAAUCGGAAUAGAACCUUUCCAACAUACAUUUUCUUCAUUACCUUAGCAAGGGAAUGUUAAGGACUAUGAUCUUAUGAGGGUCACUUAAAUAUUAUUUGAAACUUUUUUUUUUUUUUAAAUACUGACAAGGAUUAGGCGAAAUCAGCUCCUCUGUAGCAGUCUGGUGGGUGACAAAGCACCCACUCUACCCCAAAGGAGACUGCUACAACCGGGAAGCCACCACCCGUCCCUUAUCAGAAAUUUUAUUUAAAAUAAUAAAAAAAUUACAUGAAAAGAGGAAUGGGGGACUAGGCCAAAACCAUUCCAAUUACAAACCAAAACAACAUACAAAAAGACAUUGUUUCUACCCAUAAAAAACCAGGCAAUCUUCCCACUAUGAAAACCGAUAAUUAGGGAUACCCAAAUAAUCCGCUUGCAAGAAACCAUGAAGCUCAGUAGGAGGAUUAUCAUACCAAGUAAAUGAAGCAUUUGACAACCCCAAGUUUGCCAUCUUGUCAGCUACCAUAUAUUUCCUUCUCUAAAAAUAUGACUGCAACGGAAGUUCAUUUGACGAAUUAUAGAAAGAUAGUUAUUCCAACGAACUCUUAAGUUCCACGGAGGAGAAAAAGACCUGGAAGAGAAGCAAGCUACCACACUAACAAAGUCACUUUCCAACCAUAAGUAGACCCACCCUUUAUCAUGAGCAAUUUCAAUUGCCAAGAUAACAGCAUAAAGUUCAGAAUAAAAGGAACACUACCAGAAGAAAAACUUUAGCCGACGAAAAUAAAAAAACCAGGCCGACGAAUUAUUUUUUCGUCGGCUAAUUAAAAAUUUUCGUCGGCUAUAGUCAACUUUAGCCGACGAAAUUUUUAAAAGUUUAGCAGACGAAAAAUAUAAUUUCGUCGGCUAAAGUGCCUUAUAUUUGCAGAUCUGGACAACAACUCAUCUGGGAAAAAAAAACUAUAUGUAGAACCUUCAAACGCAAAAAAGUCGUGAAAUAAGAUAUGACCAGAAUGGUGAAAUACGUCUACAGUUGAAAAAACACAGUAUUCUGGUAAAGUCUCGGUGCCGAUAGUUGCGGUCAAUGCAAUUAACCCUUAUUAUUCACUAUGCUGCAGAUUUGGUUUUUGGUGUCCGAUUGACUAUUGUGAUACCUUUUCGGAAGCGUAACGGCUCUACGAGUCAAACUCAUCGCUAUUGCCAUGAAGUAUGAGCCUUUUUGGCCAUCCGAGUCCGUUUAGGGCUUCAAAAUGCAGUUUUCUUAUUUCCGAUUAGAGUUGACCGUUUCGAUCGAGCCCUUAACGUUGUCGAAUCCAGUUGAAUUUUUAACCAUAGACAUCUUUCGUCAUAAUGAUCAUAUCUGACAGUCGAAUUUUGGUUUGUAAAUUUUAGUCAUCGGAAUCACAACGUGUCUACUAUUUACUGUUAUUAUUCCCCAUAGGGAGCCCUAUCGUUGAAAGGUAAAUAUCUCAAAAUUUUUAUAUGGGCAGUUGUGUCUCAUCUACGUGAGAGUUUUUUGUGCGGAAGGUUUGACCAAACUACGUAACAUAGAGGGAGAUAUGAGCGUUUUCGUGUGAUAAGUGACGAUGGAUUAGGGUUGACAGUUUUGAUCGAGCCCUUAACGUUGUCGGAUUCAGUUGAAUUUUUUAUCAUAGACAUCUUUCGUCAUAAUGAUCAUAUCUAACGGUCGAAUUUUGGUUUGUGAAUUUUAGUCAUCGGAAUCACAACGUGUCUACUAAUGUUGUAUAAUUUAUUUAGUAGGUUAUACAACUUUGUGAACCAACUCUACAUAGGAAGCAAAAUUAUCAAAAAUCUCGUGAAAUAAGAUGUGUUCAGAAUGGUGAAAUACGGCUAUGGUUCAAAAAUCACGUAAAUCGGGUAAAGUCUCGAAGCCGAUAGUAGCGGUCAACCCUAUUUAGCGUUAUUAUUCCCUAUGGGGAGCCCUAUCGUCGAAAGGUAAAUGUCUCAAAAUUUUUAUAUAGGCGGUUGCGUCUCAUCUACGUGAAUACGUGAAAGUUUUUCGUGUGGAAGGUUUAACCAAACUACGUAAUAUAGAGGGAGAUAUGAGCGUUUUCGUGAAUUUAUAGACUUUAGCCGACGAGAUAUUAAAAAAGUCAUCGGCUAAGGUCAAAAAUUUUUGGGCUGUAAACCAAUUUGGAGGAAAAUUUUCAAAGGACUUUAGCCGACGAAAAUAUAUGAAAAGUCGUCGGCUAAAGUCGAAAAAAUUUCAAAAUUUUCAACCAAAAUUUUUUGGCGGUCAACCAAAAUUUUUCAAAAUUUUCAAAAGAGUUUAGCCGACGAAAAUAAAGAAUUUCGUUGGCUAAAGUUCUUUAUAUAGGAGUUUUACCGAAGGUGGAUGGUAAGAAGUCUAUUUCGCCUGCCAGAUUUUCUUCUCGGCCUAGCUCUGCCGUCAAGCCACCGAAGACCGCCACACUUGUCCCAAAAGUUUCGUCGUCGUCGUCUCUACUUCAUUGCUGGACAGGUGGUGCAUCGAGUGGCGCCGCCGUGAGGGAUAAAUCGAGCUCCAAAACUCCGCCGGUUCGGAUUCGGUGUCGAUCGAAUUUCUCCUUCCUCAGGUCACCAUUUGGUGAGUUCUAUAUAUGGAUAAGUUGAGUUUGAUUAGUACUACAUUCCCCUAGAAUUUGGUAGCUCGAUUCGGUGUGUGUGAGGAGAAUCGAAGAUUUGAAGUUUUUAGGGUUUAAAAUUGGGGAUUUUUAUAUUUUGAUUCAAUUGACCUGUUUAGGCUUAGAAUUGGGCUUCGACUUCUUCUAGAAAGUUGUUCUAAAUGUUGAGAGGAAGAUUCUGUCAAAUUUUGGUGGUGAUUGAAGGUGGCCGAAAAUUUCUGUAGUUUUUUUUUCAAAAACCAGCAACUUUAGCCGACGAUAUUUAAAUACUAUAUUCGUCGGCUAUAGUAUUUUUAAUUUUUUUUUAUAAGGUUUAGCCGACGAAAUAUGGUAUGUUUCGUCGGCUAUAGUUAAUUUUUAAAAUUUUUUAUAAGGUUUAGUCGACGAAAUAGACUAUAUUUCGUUGGCUAUAGUUAUUUUUUAAUUUUUUUUAUAAGGUUUAGCCGACGAAUAUCUUAAUUGUUUCGUCGGCUAAAGUUUGGGAAAAAACCCGACGACAUGUUUUUCGUCGGCUAAACUGUGGGACUAUAGCCGACGAAAUUUUUUUUUCGUCGGCUAAAGUCAUCGCCGACGACCUUUUCCCGACGAAAUCUUAGCCGUCGAAUUAAAUUAACAGGCCGACGAAAUUUUUUCGUCGGCUAAAGUGCUUGUCCUGGUAGUGUUUCCUACAUACAUUUUCUUCAUUACCUUAGCAAGGGAAUGUUAAUUAAGGACUAUGAUCUUAUGAGGGUCAUUAAUUACCUUACAUUUUCUCAGUUAUUUGAAACAUAUAUCUAUUGUUUGGAGACAAAUUUAAGUAGCAUGUGGUUUGUACGUAAGCGUAUGAUCUCUUACUAAGUCUUUUUGUUCGUGUAGUAUUGUGACGUACGUAAUGACAUCAACCAACGUGUAACACAAAGUGAUCGAGAGUAGAUAUCGAUCGAGAUCUAGAAAAAUAAUCGAUGAAACUUGUCUUGUUCAGUUCACUGCUUAACGAAAAGCAAAACCCUAAUUGUCUAUUUUAAGUACAAGUUUGAACAUGAAAUUAAUAGUUUGAGAUAUGAUCUUGAAGGGUGGAACUACUUUUGUCAUCUGGAUUCUUCUUUUAAGCAGUAUAUAUUCUUGUAGUAAAACCCAAAUUAAGUCAUAUGAAUAAGAACUAUUGUCUACACUCGUAGAAGCUCAUUCAUAAUUGUGCAUAUUUCUCCCAAACAGUCCUUAUUCACAUUAAUUUCUGUCUCCUCACAAAUAAUAUACAAGUAACAAGAGGAAUAAAAAUCCAGUAGCAAUGGAGGGAUUGGAGGGCAUCGAUCCAGACCACAAAUCAUUGGCCGGGAAAAAAAAAGCUAGGGUUUUCCAUCCCACGCAAAACACAUUGAGGAAUGUAAUGCCAAACCCCGUAAGGUUGCAGCAUCUUUUUCCCCAGUAAAGACUAAAACAUGCCAGCUACUAGUAAAGGCUCAAUAUGUGAGACUGGGAAUAUGGAAAUCAAUCAGAUGAUCGCUAUUGAGAAUCUGAGAUGAUCGAUUAUGAAAUGGUUGCACGGUUCCCAAACAACUGGAACAUUUUCUUUGUAGUUUAGCCUUUACUGAAUAGACGUACUGGACCAGUUUGCACUUGGUUUUCUAGUUAGCUAGUAGUUGAAGACAAUAGUUCAUAAAACCAGUCAUUGUUUUGCUCCUGCAGAAAUGGCACUACAUGCAUGUGAAUAUCUUUGGAAUCUUUUUAUCGAUCAUUACUACCUCCAGCAUAUAUAUAACAAAGGCAAGGGUUUCGUUAUUCGUAGUGUACACUAAUAGAAAUUUCCCCAUUGGGGACUGAUAGGAUUAAGUCCCUAUUGUGGACAAUGCACACUGAUAUAUAAGAGCGUAAAAUGCUAUUAGCACCCCUACAACCACUCUUAAGGGAUCAGUUCCCUCUAUAGCAGGUGCUAUUGGAGCAUUAGACACUGAUGAAACAUCAGUGUAAAGUUAUAUGAAAAGUUAAAAGUCUACUGGUGUCAUUGCUGCCGACGACUUUAAUUACCAGAAGAGUGCGAAUGAAGAACUGAGAUUCAGUAACAAGGAAUUUAGGAACUCAUCGAAAAGAAAAAGGAAUUUAGGAACUUGUCCUUACCACCAUCAUGAACUGAUAUUAGUUAGACAAGAAGGGAAGAUAUAUAGAGUGACAUGUGCUAAGCAAGACCUAACAUUUCGAUUCUACAAUCUAAUAAACCAGAAAGUUCGGCUGCACCAGCACCGCACCAGCACCACAAUUUAUAUCCAAAUGUUAAUGAACACUAGUCUCAACAUCGAUCUGCAAAGUGUGCCGAGUUUUUUGUCAAUUAAAACAACCAAAUGGUGUAGAAGUAGCUAAAUUUUACAUUAGGUAAAGAUUGUAAGAACAAAAUACAUUAUUGUCCCACGUUCUUCAUUUGGUUUCCUUUUCGUACGUAGUAGAACUUUUGAAGCUUGUCAUCUAUCUUUGAAGGAGUGGUGGAGCUAGCAGUAGAAGACUGGUUACACAGUAGGCUGGUACUUGUUUUUAUAUAUAGAUUCUUGCACAUUAUAACACAGUAGACCCUUUGCUGUUUCUCACCGUACGUUAGUCCAUCAUACAUUUGAUUAAGCACAUCUAGCAGAAUUUACUCAAUUUUGUUUUCAUGCAAUGCUAGAAUAAUAGAGUGAACUAGCGAGAAUAAAAUGGAAAGAAUUAUUUAUUAUAAAAUAAUUGAGUAGCCUCCUGCUACUGUGAGAUAGCUAAACUACAUAUUAUCUAUACCUCUUCAUCCAACAUUUAUAACAGAAUUAUUCUAUGCAAGGUGCCAUUUCGGGUUACCCCAAUCUCUAGUUCUUCGUCUUUUUCUAGCUCAACGUCGAGCUGCAUGCUGAGAUAAGUACACCCUGUGGCUUCUGUCGCGCGAUCGAGAAGAAGAAGAAGUAAUCUGUCGAGCGAGAAAUGGGAAAAACCUCUGGUUUCGAAAAGGAAGGAAAGAAGAAAGGAAAAUGGUCUGGUACCAGAUUCUCAAGGACUACGUCAAGAACCACGGUACAGGCAAAUGGGGCAAAAUAGCAAAGGAGAUUGGCAAGUUCAUAAUUUCCUUCAUAUAUACCUACUUUCGACAUACAUCGUUGUGCUUAAUCAAUAAUGUAAUCGCCGUUGUUUCUGAAAUUUUCAAUUAAUUCAAUUAAUUACCGACGGCCCUGUGUAGCUUACGCGGAAUUCGCAUGCAUGUAUUGGAAGCCAAAAUUACAAAUUUACGCCAGUAGCGAAUGGAUUAAUUGGUAAAUUGGUUGCUCAAUUAAUCAUUGGUUAAUUAACUGCGUGUGCAGGUCUGGGGAGAUGUGGGAAGAGUGUGAGACUGAGAUGGUUGAAUUAUCUAAGGCCCGAUAUCAAGCAUGGCAACAUUAGGGAAGAUGAAGAAGAUCUAAUUAUCAGGAUGCACAAGCUUGUAGGCAAAAGGUACUAAUAUAAUAAAUUUCUUCCUCUUAUCAUGAAAGUCCCGCAGAUCUAAUUUUAAAUUUAAGCUUAGUAUUCGUAAUUACUUACGAACAUUUGCAUAUUUGAUCAAUAUUUGGUUUCAUUUUUUUUUUUUUAAUUUUUUUAGAAUUCAAAGAAAAAAUACUUGCCUCAUUUCAGAGCUUAAUACAAAGUAGACUUGUGCAGGUGGUCAUUGAUAGCAGGAAGAAUUCCGGGUCGAACUGACAAUGAAAUAAAGAACUACUGGAUCUCCACUCUAAGUAAGAAGCUGGCAGAAGAAAAAAGAAAGAAACCAGAAGUGCCGAGAAACGAGAUUGCCAAGGAGAGCUUGCCAUCCCCCAUUGAGGUCGACGAUGGUCAUCCACAUCCGACCAUAUGCAAUGAAGUUCCUGGAGGAGGAGGAGGAUUGAUGUGUUUUGCCAGUAAUGUUAAUGUAGAAGAAGAUCAUCAGCAUCAGAGUUCUGAUACCGAUAACAGUACUACAAUGAGUGCCAGAGUGGGAGUCCGAAUCAGAGGCGUGGCAAACAAUGUUCAACCAACCGGGGACGAUCUCAGUGAUGACGCUAUGCCCUGGAACGAUUGGAUAAUGGAUCUGAACGAAGGGCAACUCGACCUAUCUGAAUUUCUCCAAACUGAUUUUUCGAACUUUUGGGAAGAAUCAGAUAUGUUCAUGAACUUUGAAGUCGGAGGUUGCAGCACCAUUAACCAUGAGUGGCCGAAUAAUUAGGGUGGUUAAAUAUCUUCCCGAGCUUCUUGUUUUUCUUUCCGUAUCGGAAAUAUUGAUUCUUGCAUAUAUUCAUUCUUGAUUUGCAUGGCAAUGCGGCCACUAUAUUAGUAAUAAGAUUAUUGAUCACUUUAGAAUCAACUAAUUAAAAGUUUUACUCAUAUAUAUUGUAAUUUUCCUAUCAAUGAGAUUAAUCAAUUGCAAUUUGUUUACUUCAAACAGUGUCAACAUUCGGGUGCUGGUGACUCUACUGCUAUGGUGCUUUUCAGAUGACCGUGGCUGGUUGUUCGACAUAGUUGAUAGGGUUUUUGGGUUUACUUGGAUUCAUUGUUUCGUAUGCUUCCAUAAUAGUAAGGGAUGCUGGAAAUUUAGGUAUCAAUCAAAGAACUAAGACAGACAUAACUCCUUAUGAAUUAUUUCAAUAUAAUGUUGCCUACCUAAUUUUCUAACUUCACCAAUCAUGCACCAGAAUCCAGUACUGGCCGGGUCAAGAUUUUCAGUGGGGAAAACGGUGUGAUGUUGAUNNNNNNNNNNNNNNNNNNNNGUUAGAAAGGGAUGAUUCUAUCUUUGGCUAAAAACCAAAAGGGAUUGAGAAUUGGUGGUUUACGAAUCUGGGUAGUUAUUAAUUCUUGAAGAUUUGUAAUUCUGGGACAAGUUCAAAUUGAGGGCCCUUCUUGAGCUGAUACGGCAGCCUUGAAUUUUCAGAGGAAGACGAACUGAACCUGUUUUUUUUUUCUUUUUUCUUUUUUUUUUGUGUGGCUGAAAACUCUGUUUUAAUCUCAGCCCUCCAACAAUGUUAAAACAAAUCAGACGGCUAUGACCCUAUCCCUUGAAAAGACCCAAAAAAAAAGGAUCCCUCAUUAAGGUAUAUGUAUGUAUGUAUGUAUGUAUAUCCCUAAUAAUAAGAAGCUACCUUGUUGAAUUGAUUGGAACAGAUCACCUUUCCUCACAUUUUCUUCAUUACCUUAGCAAGGGAAUGUUAAGGACUAUGAUCUUAUGAGGGUCACGUAAUUAUUAUUUGAAAUUAUUUAAUCUUCUUCUAAUUCAUCAAAUUUAUGUAUGCUCAAUAAUGUGCUCAAAACAAAAACAAAAACAAAAACUAGAAUUUGUCAAAGACAGAAAGCUAGCGAUGUGAAACCACAUGUCAUCCACAUAUAUCUAUUGUUUGGAGACAAAUUUAAGUAGUGUGGUUUGUACGUACGUAAGCGAUGUUACGUAAGCGAUAGACAAAUUUGAUCUAUUCUUUUUGUUUGUGUAGUGAUGUUACGUACGUAAUGACAUCAACCAACAUGUAACACAAAGUGAUAUAUCGAUCGAGAGCUAGAAAAAUAACUGAUGAAACUUUGUCAUGUUCUCUUCAUUGCUUAACUAAAACCAAAACCCUAAUUGUCUUUUUUACGUAGAAUUUUGAACAUGAAAUUAAUGGUUUGAGAUAUGAUCUUGAAGGGUGCAUGGAACCACUUUUGUCAUCCGCAUUCUUCUUUUAAGUAGUAUUAAUCUUGUAGUAAAACCCAAAUUAAGUCAUAUGAAUAAGCUCGUAGAAGUUCAUUCAUAAUUGUGCAUAUUUCUGAAAAUGACUGCAUAAAUUAAUGCAACUUUUGAAGUUUUCUCCCAAACAGUCCCCAUUCACAUUAAUUUCUGUACGUCUCCUCACAAAUAAUAUACAAGUAAACAGAUAGCGUGAGGAAUAAAAAUCCAAUAGCAAUGGAGGAGGGGAUUGGAGGGCAUCGAUCCAGACCACAACUCAAUGGCCUGAAAAAAACGAAGGAAAAAUGGGUUUUCCAUCCCAUGCAAAACACAUUGAGGCCAACACGCGUAAGGUUGCAGCAUCUUUUUCCCCAGGAAAAGACUAAAACAUGCCAGCUACUAGUAAAGGCUCAACAUGUGAAUGUGUGAAUAUGGAAACCAAUCAGAUGAUCGAUAUCGAGAAUCUGAGAUAAUGAAAUGGUUGCAUGGUUCCCAAACAACUGGAGCAUUUGCUUGUUCUUUAGCACAUACUGAAUAGUGAUAGGGGCUUAACCCUACCAAUGGAAUCGAGAAAGGGAGGAGCUAAAACUAACAGAAAAUGGAAAGGAAAUUGCAAUUUUUGAUAUUCGAUGGCUGCCUGAAACCCUAGAACAGCCUUAAAUAGGUACAAAAGAGAGAUGAGAUCUUGACACCUGUCAAGCAUCUAUCGGAUCAAAACAGUAAACCUAGCUUAACUAAUUAACCAAACUGACCAACUGAUUACAAUCAAAACAACAUCAAUUAGCUUCAAUUGACUACUUGUGGACUCCUACUCGGCCCAACUCAAGCAACAACCAUAUCUACGGCCCACUAGGAAACCAGCAGCAGAGACUUGCAACAUUCCAUCCCGGUUCCACCACAAACUUGUCCACAAGUUUGAACUGCUCAAAAUUUAAAGUCUGGAUAACGCUGCAUAAUAUCCUUAGCGAAUUCCCAAGUAGCCUCUUCUCUAGCCGUCCCCAUCCAAUGAACAAGCCACUAAGUUGCUGCUGCCCCCUUGUGUUUGAUCAUCCUUGUUAUUAAAACAGCCUCAGGGACCCAUUUAAGAGUAGACGAAUCCCUGACAUCUGGAAGGGUAGCCUCAGCUGUGACAGCAUGCCCAAUUCUCUUUUUGAGGAGGGAAACGUGAAAGAGGUUAUGGAUUUUUGCUGUAGCUAGAAGUGCCAACUUGUAUGCCACUGCUCCGAUCUUCUCCAGUACCUGAAAAGGACCAUAGUACUUUGAUGCCAACUUAUGAAACGCACUGGUGCUGACUGAAGUCUGUUUAUAAGGCUGGAGUUUCACAUAGACCCAGUCCCCAACUUCGAAUGAUCUCUCUGUGCGAUGCUUAUCAUAGUAUGCCUUCAUCCGGUUCUGAGCUUGAUGGAGAUUUCGUUUGAUCAACGCUAAGAGCUCGUCUCUACUUUGGAGUUGUGCAUCCACGUCUGCCACAGCAGUAGAACCAGGUGUGUACGGUUUAAUGGCAGAGGGAGCAUAGCCAAACAAAGCUUCGAAAGGUGUCAUUUUCAGAGCUGAGUGGUAGGCACUGUUAUACCACCAUUCAGCCCAAGGGAGGGCAGCUACCCAUUCAUGAGGUUUGUUUCCAGCAACACAGCGUAGAUACUGCUCCAAUGUCCGAUUGAGGUUCUCGGUUUGACCGUCCGUUUGGGGGUGAUAUGCUGUUGACUUGUUCAAAGUAGUACCUUGCAGUCUGAAAAACUCCUCCCAAAAUAAGCUCAUGAAAAUGGGGUCACGAUCUGAGAUAAUAGCAUCUGGCAUACCAUGUAAACGGAAUACUUCUGUAACAAAGAUCCCUGCAAGCGCCACUGCAGUGUAUGGAUGAGAAAGAGGUAUAAAAUGAGCCACUUUGCUAAACUUGUCCACCACAACCCAGAUGACAGUUUUUCCUUGUGAUUUUGGCAAAGCCUCGAUGAAAUCCAUUGAAAUAACGCUCCAUGCUCUCUCAGGGACUGGAAUUGGUCGCAGCAGCCUCGGAGGUCUAAUAGACUCAUAGUGGUUUUGCUGACAUAUAUCACAAUUAGCUACAAAUAGCUUCACAUCCCUUUGUAGUCCUGACCACGCAAAAUUUUUUCUCACCCUCAUGUAAGUGCGAGUCCUACCAGCAUGCCCUCCCACCAAACCACAAUGGAACUCUUGGAUCACCUUCUGCCUCCAAUUGUCAAUAUUUGGUACAAACACUCUUCCUUUAUACAUCAACUGAGAAUUAUGCAGUGAGAAGUGUUUCUUGCUGUGGGGUGAUUCUUGGAGAGUUCGAAUCAACUCCACCAAGGUAGCAUCAGUAAGACAUGCCUUCUGUAUCUCACUCACAAACUCAUGAGUUGGUAUAGACACUCCCAUAAUAGCAUUAAGAGCUGCAGAUCGAGACAAGGCAUCUGGUGCAGCGUUGUUUUUUCCCGUUUGUAGUGGAUGGAGUAGUCAUACCCGAGGAGUUUCAGCAACCUUUUUUGUUGAGAGGGUGUGGUUACUCGCUGGUUGAGGAAAUGCUCAAUAGUCUUGUGGUCGGUGUAAAUGGUGAAAUGAUGGCCUAGAAGGUAUGGUCGCCAAUGCUCAACAGCAGUCACUACAGCCAACAUCUCUUUGUCAUAAACCGAAAGAGAGAGGUGUCUUUGGGAGAGAGCCUUACUCAUAAAGGCAAUAGGAUGCCCUUCUUGACACAACACUGCCCCAACUCCCACAUCCGAAGCAUCACACUCGAUAGUAAAGGGUUUUGAGAAAUCAGAAAAAGCUAGUACAAGAGUUGAAGUGAGAGCUGCUUUUAAUUCCUCGAAGGCCCUCGUUGCUCCCUCAUCCCACUUAAAUCCAUCUUUCUUAAGUAGACUGGUGAGAGGCUUUGCAAUCAGACCAAAACCCUUAACAUAUUUGCGGUAGUAACCGGCAAGACCAAGGAAACCACACAGCUGCUUGAGAGUCUUGGGUGUUGGCCAAUUCUUCACACAUUCUAUCUUUGAGGGAUCAACAGACACACCUUUGCCACUAAUAACAUGCCCCAGGUACUCUACUUGGGAGACACCAAAACUGCACUUGCUUUCUUUAACAACCGAAGAAUGCUGUUGUAAAAUUUGAAACACCAUUUUCAAAUGUUGUAAAUGGGCUGAGAGGGAAAGACUAAAGAUGAGGAUGUCAUCUAAGAAUACCAGAACACAUCUCCGCAAGAGUGCUCAUAAGACAUCAUUCAUCAAGGACUGAAAUGUUGAGGGGGCGUUGGUGAGGCCGAAAGGCAUCACCAAAAAUUCGUAGUGACCGGUAUGAGUCCGGAAGGCAGUUUUAGGAAUAUCAGUCUCAGCCAUCCGAAUUUGGUGAUAACCUGCCCUCAAGUCCAACUUUGUGUAUAUCGUUGAACCAUGAACUUCAUCGAUCAACUCAUCCACCACAGGGAUAGGGUACUUGUCUUUAACUGUGGCAGCAUUUAGAGCUCUAUAGUCGAUACAAAGUCUCCAUGAACCAUCCUUCUUUUUUACCAGCAACACAGGAGAAGAGUAGGGGCUUGUGCUCGGCCUGAUCACACCAUUGGCUAGCAUUUCUUGCACUAUCUUCUCUAUUUAUGUUUUCUGGAAACGAUAAGGUCUCACGCUAAUGGGGGGGAGUGUUGGGCACUAGCUCAAUCUUAUGAUCUUGUGCUCUAGAGGGAGGGAGGCUGCGGUGGGGGGGGGGGGGGGGGGGGGGUGCGCAAAAACAUUUGCAUAUUUGGCCAACAAAGACUUGAUGGUAGGAUGGACUUCUGGAUUUUUCCGUUCAGCAGCCAAAGAGUGUACUUGAACAAGGACUGCAUCUUUCUCUUUCCUCAAUAACUUCGUCAUAGUUUUACAACUUACAACCAAAGCUUCUGGUGUUGUCACUACAAAAAAGAAUUCAUUUAGCCACCGAAAAUCGCCACGGCUCGGAUUUGCCGUGGCCAUUGAUCCUAAAUUUGCGACGGCGAAGCGACGGUAAACAUACCGUCGCUAAAUAAAAACCAGUUUGCGACGGCAACAUCUUGCCGUGGCUAAAUAAUGCAAAAUUCGCGACAGCAAACUAGCGCCGUCGCAUAUGUUUUUAUCAACGGCGACGACAGGUGAGUGCCGUGGCAAAAAAACCAAUUUUAUUUCUGAUUUGCUGCUACGGUUGCUUUCGUCGUCGCCUGUGUUCUUUCACUGUUAAUGGAAGGCGCCAAUUAUCCCGCUUUCCAUUUUGACAAAAAACAUCAAUUUUACAUAACCCUCAUUUUUACUCUCUCUUCAGACAAAACCCCCAUCCCACAAACCUAAUUCCUGUCUUCUAGAAAUCGCCGGUCCUAACCCCAUAACCCCUAUUUUGUCAAAUAUGUUGAAUGAAAAUUGGGGUUGGUCGUGAGAAACACAAAUCAUCGACUGUGGAAGGAGAGCUUGUCGACGGUGGUUGUGGUCAUCGGGAGGAGAGGUUUUCGGUUUUCAUCUGACCGGUGGCGGUACAAGACUGUAUUGAAUUGGCGGCGGCGGGUUUGCACUGGUGGCGGGUUUGCGCUGGCAGUGGCUUCUUCGGUCAAGUCGUGUCGAAUCUCUAGAGGUCGACGGCGGCGGCUUCUUCGGUCAACCCUAAUCGCCCAUCUUUUCCCUGCUCUUCCCUGCUCGAGCUCGCAGAAGGUACUCUCUUCCCUGCUCGAGCUCGCGCAUCUCUUCCAUGCUCUUCCCUGCUCGAGCUCGCAGAAGGUACUCUUUUCCCUGCUCGAGCUCGCAGAAGGUACUCUCUUCCCUGCUCGAGCUCGCCCAUCUCUUCCAUGCUCUUCCCUGCUCGAGCUCGCCCAUCUCUUCACUGAUUUUUUCGAUGCGUUUUGUGGUUUUGUGAAUUGGGUUUGAGUUGGUUUUGUUUUGGAUUUUUUGAUAGGUUCCAGAGGGGUCUGAAGCGCAAGCCCAUUUAAUGAUCAAGAAGCUUCGCAAAGCGGUGAGUUUUACUGUUAUUGGUUUGAUUGGUUAUGGUGAAUGAAAUAUGUUGUUGUGAUAGAUUGGUCACAUUAUCGUUCAAGUAUUGAAAUUUUUGACUCAUUGAGCAGUUUGUUUGGAGCUUACCAUUCUAUUCGCAAGUUUAUAUUAGAAUUUGUUCAUUGAGCAAUAUAUAUGUACCGACGAUAUAGGAAACUUUUGAAGUUUUGGAGUUGUCAUUGAUUGACUGUAUUAUAUUUAUACCCUCUAAGAUUAGUCUGUUGAUGGUAGGAAGAUAAGGUGCGUGUAAGACAGUUUAUGCCUUCUUUAGUUUCCUCAGAGUUGAGGAAGCUAGCUAAUUGCCUAUCCUCAGAAUGUUAUUUAAUUCCUGGCAACACUACUGUUGUACAACAUAUUCCAAUUGUUUGUUUAGUUGAAUGAUAUGUUCUGUGGUGGCAUUCAUUGUUGUUGGUAUUGAAACCCCUAUGUGUAUUGGUUAAUGACUUUGUAGAGGAACGGUUUGUGUUUUUGUUUAUCCUCAGUUAAAGAGAAAUUGAGCAGUAGAAUGUGUGAGAAACUUGACUGUAACAAAAUCAACAGAACUAGAGAAUACUUCGGAAGUCCGAAUUACCCUAUACUCUUAAACUCUCACCAAAUGCCACUAAGAAACCAAAUAGGUCACAUGAAGCCGAGGCCCCGUUUUCAUAGUUUCACUCUUCAUUACAUGAUCAAGUACUUUUUCAUAGUCUUUUUAUUUCAUAGUAUAUGUGGGACAAGUAAAAAUGGGAGUUCAUAACUGAAUGUGGUUGAAGUUUUGUUUUCAUUUUCACGCUUUUCUAUUUGUAGUUUUGUUCAUUCCGUCUUUUCUCUCUUUCCUCAAUUUAGUCUCUGUUAUUACUCUCAAUUUAGUCUCUGAAAACUGAGUCAGUAAAUUAAGUGGUCCACUAACAAUCUCCCAGACCUUCUCAUACUAGUUGUUCUUGAGAACUGGUGAUAUAUUGUUCUUGAGAACUAGUGAUAUGAUUUUUUUUUUUCGUUUUUGUUAAUUAGCUUGGGCUGUUAUACACCAGAUGGGUUGAAUGAAUAUUUAAUGAGAUUUGCUGCUGAGUUUGAUUAUUAAUGUCGAGUGAUUUGUGUCUUUAGGUGUUGUAGUAACAGAAUUUAGUUUGACAAUUUGAAACAUGAACACUGCCAGUAAUUCAUUGUUCUGAACUUGUCACUUCAGUGUGGUGAUAUUACAAUUUGUCCACCUUUUCUAUUAUGGAUAGGAACUCUGUUUUAUAUGAUUGAGAAGUUUUAUGAUACAUUUACAUUGAUACUCCCACCAAAGAUUCUCUUGACACACGACUGAUUGCCAAAUCUAUGUUUGAAAGACCUUUAUAUAUAUGUGUAUUUUAUGCAAUGGCAUUACUUAAGUAGAUUAUCAUUAAUUUCAGUUAGAGUUGUAGGCUUACAGGGAGAGGAACUGUUGAAUUUACCAUUGAAAAAGGUGACAGUUCAACAUUUGCUCCAGAAGCUGGUGGUGAACCAAGAAAGACAGCCAGUAUUCAGGUAUAAUGAAUACUAUCUAUCUAUCUAUCUCUCUCUCUCUCUCUCUCUCUCUCUCUCUCUCUCACACAAAAAUUUGAUAUUUCCAAAUGUAAAAUGUAUGCAUGGCACCCAAAUUUACUUUGAAAAUAUUUAAUGUCCAAAACUGAUCAGUAACUUGUGUACAGGUUGUUAUAGAUAGUUAUUCAGCACCAUUAACAGCGGGUAAUUUCGCAAAACUGGUUAGGUAGUUGAACACUAGAACCUCACAUUGGCUUCAUGCAAUUAUCUACAUUUGUGAAUAGAUGUGCUUAUCAGUGCUUUACACCUCUAAAUUUUCAUCCUCACUGGUUCAUCCAUAUGCUAUAAGGAUAACUGGGUAUUCUGUGAAAAAAUUAUGUUAAAGUUUGAAGUCUUUUUGAGUAUCUGAUAUCUUUUUAUAGUGCUUACUUUUGUCAAUUUGGUCAGUGUUGUAAUGUUAGUUACUAUUGGUUUGAGGUUGAGGUAGACUGGAAUAAUUACUGUAUUUUUUUUUACUGCGGCAGGGGAGUGUGGAGUGGGGGAGCACAAGAGUAAAGUUGCAGGGAAGAUGCAUGGAUGUGGACAUGAUGGUCAUGUUGCCAUGCUUCUUGGAGCUGCUAGUUUACUUCAAGAGUAUCGCCACAAAUUACAGGUCUCUUUCCUGGUUUGAAUUCUAUGCAUUGUGUUUAGAAGAGUGGUUUCAUUGUAAAGUUGGGUUUUUAGGUUUGUUAUUCCAUGUGUUGCAUCAGUUCUUGUUCUUAUGGACUUCUGUUACUUUAUAUAGCAAUUGUAGGUUUGAAAGUAGUUGUCUUUAAACAAAACAUCAAGGCUAAAAUGUAAAUAUUUAAAACUAUAUAUGGUCAGAUUUGGAAAGUUCCAGCGUAUGAGCGUGGAGGUGAGGUUAGGGAGAUUAUUAGGCCUUGGGGUUGUCUACAAUGGGCUCCUGGUCUAGCUGUCUAUUAGAAUUAUAUGUCAACUUGUUAUGUCAUCUAUCUGACUGCGAACAACCUUUAACUAAUAAAAAAGACAAAGAGCGAUAGAAAAUGACCUUUCAUACUGAAAUUUGCAGAGUUUUGGAGUCCAUAUUGGAACUACAUUUUGAUGUGGCCAGCUAUAAAAGUUGAUACACUAGCUUAAUCUAUAGAUUGCAAAGUGUGUGCAUUCUCUAAGUAGGCUUCUUGANNNNNNNNNNNNNNNNNNNNGAAUGGCUGCGAGUGGAUUUUUUGAAGCCUUGAUAAGUGGGAAGGGGGGUCGUGCUGCAAUUCCACAGCACACAAUAGAUCCUAUCUUGGCUGCUUCCAAUGUUAUUGUUAGUCUGCAGCAUCUUGUUUCACGUAAAGCUGACCCCUUAGAUUCACAGGUUUGCUCGCUUUCUCUCUAUUCUCAUAAUAAGGUCAUUGUCAAGUCUAUGUUCCCCUCCUAUUGCAGCUUGAUUAUUCAAAUACAUGUAUCUGUAAGUUCACAUGUGUUAGCGUUAGUCUACAACAUCUUUCACUCAGCACAUAGUAUGUGAAAUAUUAAUCCCCUUAGUUUCUUCAUGUGUGUGGGGAAAUGGUACUAUACAGAACAAACAUGAUAAGUAUUGGAAAUUGCCCUUUUUUUUUAUUAUGAAUAUUUUUGAAGUAUGGUUUAGUAUGAAUUAGGGUGAAAGUGCUUGAUUUACUUGAAUCUAGAUAUGGUUUUAAGCAUUAGGGUCAAUGCUUGAGCAUGCAAUAGGUUUUUGUUUUCACCUUUCACUUCAAAUCAGACAACUAAUUGUAGAAAAUGGUCUCAUUUAUGCAAUAGGUACCAGCUGAUGCAACAAGUGGCCAUAAGGCUAGGAGGGAGUCCAUAUGAGAGGGAGAUCCUGAGGCCACUACCCAUUUUGAUUCAACUUCUGAUGAUGUCACUGGUCACCAUGAUCCUCCUGCAUGAUUUAGGUUUAUGUCAUAUUGUUGUGUUUUAGAAUGUGUUAGAACAAAAUUAUGUUGGAAUAUUAUUGUCCCUUUAUGAAGCUCUUUUUAUUGUUGUAGCAGUUUGUUGGUUUGGUUUAGGUUCCAUCAUGUGGAAUAAUGUUUAUGUUAGAUAAUUUGGUUAUGAAAUGAAUUUUGGUCAUUGUGUUGUAUUUUGUUGGAAUGAAUGAUAGUUGAUGGUGGUGUUAGUACCUUGUUGAUUAUGGUUGUUGCUAUUGUGGAUUGAAUGAGAUUUGAAUUUGCAGCUUUCUGGUAAAAAUGAGAUUUGAAACAGUUGUGGUAACAAUUUCUGCAGUUGGCGACGGCAGAGUCCCGUCGCAAAUGGUUUUGGUGGGAAAAUUCAAAAAUUUUAGUUCAGAUCUGAAAUUUUUAAAAUAUCACAGUGACGGCGAUUGCCGUCGCCAAUAUUGGUAUUUGUGACGGCAAGUUCAGUAGCCAAUUUCCGUCGCUAAUUAAGCGACGGUCUUUACAGUCGCUAUUUGCCGUCGCAAACAUGGUUGUGACGGCUCACUGCCGUCGCCAAAAGCAACGGCCACACCCUCAACGGCGACGGGAAAAAUGCCGUCGCCACGCCGUCGCCGUUGGUCUUUUGCGACGGCAGAAUGACUUUUGGCGACGGCAUUUUGCCGUGGCUAACUGAAUUAAUUUUUGUAGUGUGUUAGUCCCUGCAAACAGAAUGUAUGCCCUCCAAUCUGAAACUUCAUCAUCAUAGUCUCAAAAUUCCACAAUAUAUCCCCAAGAGUUUUGAGCCAACUUGCCCCCAUUACAACCCAUUACAACUUCACAACCUGAUAUAGGUAGAACAUAGAAGGAAGUGGUUAGGGUUAAACCUUGCAAUGUAAUUUCAACCUUUACCUGCCCCUUAGUGUACAUAAUCGAUCGCUUCACUAGCAAGCCGGACUCUUAGAGGACUAAUUUUUUGGACCUCAUGCUUCGAUGCCUUGAGCGCUGCAGGGUGCACAAAGUUGUGUGAUGCCCCCGAAUCAAUUAGGACAUGCACUGCCUUGUUCAGAAUUUUCCCUUUGAGUUGCAUGGUUGAAGUGGCACUACCAUCUCCCAUAGCUCUGAGCUCCACCUCAUCAUUAUCUUCCACAUUAUCCAAUUGGUCCAAAUCAUCAAUGAUAGGAGGAGGUAACACGUUAGGAGGGAGUUGUGGAACUUCAUCUUGUAAUACCUCAAUAACCAUGAUGGCCUGUCCUCGCCGACAAUUGUGUCCCGGUCGGAAGAGCUCAUCACAGAAAAAACAUUGGUUCCGGGAUCUACGCUCCUGGUAUUCAGCUUGUGUGAGUCACCUAUUUCCUCCAAUAUUCCUUGCAGCCCCUGGAUUGGCUAAAGCAGGCAUAUUCUGAGCUCUCAGUUGUGGCGGAGGAGGGCCUUGAGCACGCGGGGGAGCUACUGGAGGCAUAAGAGCUUGUCGCCUUGGUAACCCUGUGACUCUUUGAAAUCUCUGCUAGGUAUCCCCUCCCUCAAACAGUUUUGCCAAUUCACACGCUAUAUAGAGUGUGGAAGGUCUAUGUGCCUUGACACCCGUUCUGAUGUAGGGCUUCAAACCCUCAAUAAAAAAUGACAGCAGUGCCUGUGGUGUGAACCCCUGGUGCACGCCUUGACAGCUUAGUAAACUGAUCCAUAUACAUAUCCACAGACCCUACUUGAGAAAUGCGAGCAAGAGCAGCCUGGUAUUCACCGAAAUUAUGCACACUGAACUCACGCAUUAGUAACUCGGCUAAACCACUCCAAGAGUUUGGAAAUUCAUGUUUGAACAUGAACCAGUGAUCAGCAGCUUUAUCCACUAAAUGCAAGGCUGCUAUAGCUACCUUCUUCUCGUCUGGCACUUGAUAGAACUCAAAAAAUUGUUCGGCCUUGUGCAACCAUUCAACAGGAUCUCCACCCCCAAAGGUCGUGAAAUCUAACUUCAUUUGUCUCAUGGAGGGAAGACUGGGAUCAUGGCUUGAGAAAUUUGGGUUACCUUGGUGGAAACUUUGUUGUUGAUUAUGUGUGUGAGAGGGACUACCAUUGCCAUGGUGUUGGGAAUGGGGGUUUUGAAUGGUUGUGGUAGUGGUAGCAUAGGUAGGGUGAGAUUGAGAAUGGCUUUUUAUGUUUGGAGACUGGUGCAUUUGGGAAUGGGGUGUGUUGCUGGUUGUGGGGAAGGGGGGUGGGCCAAAAGUUGCAGCAGUGUUGUAAACAUCAUGUGAGUAAUGACGUGAAUGGGAUCUGUUGUGUAGAAGCACACAUGGGUUGGGACACCAAAGGAGCACCAAGGUGUUGUUGUGCCUCAUUAUGCAAACCCCUACCAUGGUGGUUAAAAGAGUGAGCUCCUCCAUCAGUGUGUUGAAAAAAUUGAGUCAGGGGUUGCUUUCCAUUGUUUUGACCACUCGAUUCUCCUCUAGCAUGAUUAGACAAACUCAGAGGGUCACCAACAGUAAGUUGCAUCAAGGGUUGGGAAGAGGACUCAAGAGCUGUGUCACACUCACUCAUGAAACCAAGAAGCACAUCAUUAUCUCCAAGGUUCAAAGGAUGGCGUGCCUUGGAUACACUGCCUGCAGAGUUGAGCAGAGACAUAGCUGUUGAGAUGCCAUCAGUCGACGACGGAGUGGUCCCUCUUUCAACUAACGUCGGAGACCCAGAGGUUAAUGGAAGCGACCCAAAGCGCAGCAUCGGAUUCGCCUAUAAUGAUUGUACUUCAUAGUUGUAUCAGUGGCUGCCUCUAGCUCAGCGGUCUUCCAGUUUUAUCUGUUAGGUUCUAGUUGCAUGCAAUGUUUCUUGUUGUAAUGUUUUGGUUUACUAGUCGAAAAAAAGAAGAAGGAAGAAACAAAAAAGGGUAAGCUGACUCAGUACCAUUUGAUCUAAUGACAUAGUCUCCUCUUAAUAAGUGGGAGGUUGUGAGUUUGACUCACGAAGUUGUAUUAUGUGAUAAAAAAAAAGGGUAAGCACUUGUGUAAUUCUAAUUAGAUGGGGUGGUUAAUUAGUUUAGUUGAAACUUGAAAACCAAUGCUUUUACUAAAUCUUUCUACUUAAUCAUAUGCGUACUGCGAGCGUGUAUCAUGUAUGUGAUGUAUAUAUGUCAUCUAUGACAGUUUGUUUUUGGUUCUUGUAGUAUGUAACAUCAAACAACGUGCAAUACAAGAGUAGACAACAAAAAUAAUUGAUGAAACUUGUCUUGUUCACUUGAGUGCUUGAAAAUCGAUCAAAACCCUAACCUUGUCUUUUCCGUCGACGGCGAGAUAAGUGGUUUCUAUUAGAAAGCUGUUUAUAUCAGCAGAAGACAAACUCGUUCAGACCAGAUAAGAUUCUGUGAUCCCCAUUUGGGAAGGUGUAGGGCAUGUACUUGAAAAUUACACCAUAUGCAGUAGUGCCCGGGCCUUCUUCUACAGUUCUACGUACGUAUUUUCAUUUCAGAAUUCACAUGAUGCAUACAUGGGAUAUGGGAGUCAGAGAAAUUAUCCUUUUACCUACGUACUCGAUCUGUUGGCUUGCAUGCCUCUCCAGAAUUUAAUAGCAAAAUUGUGAGCUCUUAUUAACAACUUACUGAGAGUGAAAGAGAGGGAAAGAACAAGAUGAGUAUGAUUUUGCAGGAAGUGUUCCACAUUUUAUAUUCUUUCCUUUGAAGAAUGUAAUCGAUUCUUCCUUUUGAUUCUGGGUUGUUGGAGAAAUUUUAGUCAUCAUCAUCACCAUGUACGUUCUUCUCCUAAGUCUUAAGUACACUCUUGUAAGUUGUAAUUAUAGCUAGAUGGGGUGCGGGGUUUAUUAGUUAACUUGAGGCAAAUGUUUGUACUAAAUCUUCGUAGAUACGUAUGUCGUUGCUGACACAAAACAACAUGCAUGCCACACAGAGUGAGAUCAUGAAGAGACGUCCGAUUCCAACAAAAUGAUAUAGGAGCGAAACUUUUCUUGUUCACUUCAUUGCUCAAAAAUCAAAAUCCUAGCCAUAUAUAUUCGGUCGACUGCGAUGUAAGCGGUUAGUGUUAUAUAUAAAGCUCUUAUAUCAAAUUAUCUUUGAAGCAGGAGAUCGACAUGCAAAGCCAUUCAGACCAAAGAUUAGUGAUAAAGUUAUCAUGGAUUCCCAAGUAUCACAUCAGCAAAUGUAUCAUAGAUCAAUCUAAGAAUGAAAAUUAACAUGAUAUUAACAUGCACGUUAAUAUAUGACCUAAAGUGGAACCACAUUUUUCUUUGAUUAUUCUUGCAUGUAAGACCCGAGAUAUGAAGGAUGAGAACUUUUCUUAACAUUCAUUAAAACUAAAUCACAAUGCAUUCUGAACAUGAUUGCACAAAUAUAACUUAUUGAUGUUUUGUUCCUAAAAACUAUAGGCAUUCACAUUUACUUUUACGAACGGAAAACGCUAUCACGCAUAACUAAAACUCCAAGAGGAACGAAUUUUCUUUCUUAAGCCAUGAAAUCAUUCCGUCUCAUAAAUGCUUUUUUCCAGUAGGCGAUAUGGAUCCAGACCACCGGAAAAUAAAAGGCGGUGGAUUAUUCACACUGAAAAGAAAAAGAAAAGGAAAGAAGAGGUUUUCACAUCCACGCGAAACAUAUGGAGGGAACAGGGAAGUAGUGCCAAACUAUAUGGAUAACGCUGCGUGAAGUCGCUUGUCCAUCUUGUACGUUACACUGUUUUUUUUUCUCCCAGUAAAGGCUAGAACAUGCAUAUAUGUGCCUGUAUAGAACCGAAAGAGCAAAGGCUGAACAUGCAUGUGAAUCCAAGAUAUUGAAGAUCAUGGAGCAUUCGCUUGGAGUUUUGUAAGUUAUUGAAGAUACGCACUGGACCAGUUUCCAGUAUUAUUGUAUAUCUUUAGCAAAGUUGAAGACAAUACUUAAAAUCACUCGUUGUUUUCACACCUGCAGAAAUCCCAGUACAAAACCCAAAGAAUCAGUAGUAACUGUAAGAUAGCUCUAGCAAUUGUAUAACAUAACAAGUCACAAGAUAUAUAUAAAAGAGAGCUUGCUAAUUAACUAACAAAAAAAAUAAAAAUUAGAACCUAUGUGCUAGAUUAGUUUCAUUUUCUUUUUUAAAAUAACGGUCUCAAGAUGAAUAGUUGAUUCAUAUUAUUCAUACUGGGCUCCGAAUGAUAGAAAUUAAGAUUUAUUGAAUUCAAAGAGCAUAAACAUAAAGAAAACACAAAAAGUGCUUUGGACUACAACACUAGUUUGUGAUACUCUCAUUAUUUGAAAUCAAACUCUUCUAUCAUGAAAAACAAGCCGGCCUGUUGUAAAUGUGAGAUUUACCCCUUUUUUGAAGCUUCUCUCUCAGUUUGAAAAAAAAGCAUCUUCAAGAGGAGGGAAUGAGGGAUAUACUUCCAUUAGGUUCACGUGUGUAUUUCUGUGGCAAUGUGAACCCUACACGUGGCAUGAUCUUGUAGAAACGGAGCCGAUUCUGAUAUCUAAAUAGCUAUAAAUAGGGCGCAUUGCAAGAGCAAAAACACCAACAGCAAACAGAAGCCAUAAGCCAUAAGUUACAUAUCCUUGUUCGAUCUCUGCCUUUUAGCCACUAUCAUCAUGCUUGGCCUAGUAAACAAGGUGGCCUCAGUAAUCCACCACCCUCAUAGCCCGUUUGCCAAGUCUGACAAGAAGAUCUUGGAUGAUAUUUACACUACUCAUGUCCAUGCUGAUGAUUCAUUCGACGACGAUUCUCUUUUCAUCAUUGUUGAGAGUAUCCUCAAGCGUGCAACCCAAACUGUCGAUAAAAUUGUGCAGGUACAAAUCACACAUAACAUGUAACACGAUUACAUAUGCCUUGGUCGAUUUUUGCAUACGUACAAUAUAUAUUUACGCAAGAAUGACCAAGCUAGGAUGUUCUUAAUUUGCCUAAGAGAAGCUGUCUUUUUCUGUUGUUGGUAGUGACUAGCUGCAUGCUACAUUCUUGUGGUUGUUGCAGGGUACCCAAGUGCAUGUGGAAGACAUAGAGGAGCAAACUCCCAAAGCCAACUUCAGUGUACCAUUGUGCACGCUUAAGGGAAUCUCCUGCGAGGUCCAUCCGUCCAUAUAUAUACGAUACCAGCAAAAAUUAAAAAAAUUCCAAAUUAAUUGUUGUUAAUUGCUCGUUGAUUACAUUUUCCAUAUAUAUAUUGAAUAUUUCUCUAAUUUCAGAUGCAAUGCAAGCCUCCUGGUGAAGAAAUCGCCCAUGAGACAACACUGGCAAUACUACACAAGCUGUCAAAGUAUUCAUGGGAAGCAAAGGCAUCACUGACCCUAGCAGCUUUUGCUAUGGAGUUUGGUGAAUUCUGGCUCCUUGCAGAGCUUCGUGAAUCAAACCACCUUGCCAGGUCAAUUGCAAUUCUCAAACGACUCCCUGUUCUCCUCAAGCCUUCUCAGCUGCACAAGCGCAGGCAAGCAAUACUUGAGCUUAACAAUCUGAUCAAGGCCACACUGGAAGUCAUUACAUGCAUCGACCAGUUCAACAAGAUUUCCAUUUAUGACCUGAAAGAUGUCCCCGAGUUGUCGGGAACAUUGGAUCAUGUUCCGGUGGACGUAUAUUGGGCUAUCAUGACUGUUGUGGCUUGUGCCACUAAGAUCACACUACUCACUAGUGAUGAGUAAGUUCCUCGAUCUCCAUCGUUUUAAAGAAUUAGCUAAUUACUAUACUCACUGUUGUGGUGUAAGCAUUGUUCCUGGAGAUUGAAUUUGUGUACCGAUUUACGAUAUUUACCCUAUUUAAUUUGCCAUGCACAUAUUGUUUCAGGGACAAAGAAUUUGACCUAUCUCCCUAUUCUCAAAAGAUCCACUUUGUCCUUAACAAGCUCAAGA
rnacentral:lncRNA from 1 species